AUUGAUAACAACAAUGGUGCUGCUAUUAUAAAAUGGACUGUUGAAUAUGAGAGGCUUGCUGAGGAAGUUGAUCCUCCAUAUGGCUACAUCGAGUACCUCCACAAAUGCACUGCAGAUAUCGAUGCUCAUCUUCUCAAGGCAUAGCUCCAAAAAGUUAUGCAGAAAGUUAAAAAAAUAACAAUAAGAAACAAUGGCCUUGACCUUAGGUUAAGUGCUUUUCUGUAUAAUAAUAUAUAUGUGUGGGGUUUCACAGAAGGAUCAAUAUGUAGACCCUUCUUAUGGUGAAUAAACCUAUAUAUGCAUGUAUGUGAUUAUGUCUGGAAGCUUUUUUGAAUUAUUAUAUGGUUAAGUGUUGCAUGUGAUGCAUAUUAUUUAUGAUUUGUGUAAAUAUAUCGUAUCUAUAAUUACUAGAAAAACAAUAAAAACUAAUUUCAGAGAUAAAAAAUAAUAGUUAUUGUAUUUUUUAAAUUAGAUACUAUUUUAGAUAUUAAAAUUUUUGUGUGUGUUUAAAGUAGUUUCUAUUAUUAACAAAAGACUUGUUCUACGAUUAAUUGGACUAAGAUUUGUUCUCCUUUUGAGAAUGGAGGAUUGAAGAUUAAUAACCUUUAAAAAAUAAUGCUUACAUCAUCAAGCAUCCUGGAACUUUGCUUUCUCUUGAAAGCUAGAGUUCUUAAAUCUAAGUACCAACUAAGAUUGACUUAUAAAUCCUCUUCUAUUUGGCAUGAGAUUAAACAGUUUUAUGACACCAUUUUGAACAUACCUCUUGGACUGUUGGUACAAGUACUAUUAUUAAUUUCUGGAAUAAUAAAUAGUGUUCUUCUACUUGUUUAUCAAACAUUGCAGGGUACCUAGAUGAUUUUGAAACCUUGGCGACUACAGUUUCCCAAUUCUAGAAUGAUAGUGAUUGGAUUAUUCCAUCGACUUUACAAUAGGUCAAUCAUUUUUUUGAACAUAUCAUGAUUAGGCAGGAACCGAAUACUCCUAAUUGGACUUUAGAAGACUCUAGUCCUUUCACUCUUAAAUGUGCUAGGAAAUUUUUCUUAGAUCCAGGAGUUCCUUGUGGAUGGGGUAACAUAAUUUGGUCUCAAUAUAUUCCUCCUCCCAAAACUCUGGUGUACUUUGGAAAGUUUUUCAUGGGCAGCUUCCUACGGAUCAACACAUUCAGCACAGAUGUUUGCAUUUAUUUUCUAUGUGUACUAUUUGUGAAAAGUAGGAAAAAUCUAUUCAACAUCUAUUUGUUGAAUACCCUAAUGCUUUGCAUAUUUGGAACUAUGUUCGUCAAAUUUUUCUUAAUUCUCACUUCUCUAAUGUGUAUGAUCUCCUUUCUUUUAUUAAGAACGAUGGUAGUUCUUUGGUUAAUUUGAUUAAACUUGUUGUGAUUACCUUCUCUAUUUGGAUAAUAUGGCGUAUGAGGAAUUAUGCUAGAUUUCAGGUUAAGAUUGAUCUUUCCAGGGCCAUUUCCACCAUUAAGGAUUUCACUUGCCUAGUGGGUAAUUCGUCUAAAAGCUCUAUGAUGAAUGAUAUGUUUGACUUCAAUGUGCUUCAAUUCGUUGAUAUUAAUACUCGUACUGGAAAAGUUCUUCAUUCUUUUCUGUUAAAAUUAAUACUAAUGGUGUUGCUUGGGGUUCUCCUGGUCUUACUACUUGUGGUGGUAUUUUUUGUGGGAGUAUGAGAGAGUUUAUUAGUGGUUUCUCUACUUUCCUUGAUAUUUAGACUACUUUGGUUGUUGAGUUUAAUGGAGUCAUACAUGUCAUUGAAUAAGCUAAAAAGAUGGGUCUUACUAGUUUAUGACUUGAAUGUGAUUCUAUCUUAGAUUGUGUUUCAUUUAUUGUUAGGACUAACGUUCCUUGGAUCCUUCGUAAUUGGUAGAACACUUGUCUUGAUUUCUUUGGGAAAAUCAGGUUUAAUAUUUCUCACAUUUUUCGUGAAGGUAAUGCAUAUUCUGACCAACUUGCUGAUUUAGGGUUUAUUCAUAAGAACAAUUUCAUUGGUAUAAUAGGUUUCCAUCUAGUCUUUUCUUAAAAUUCUUUAUUAAUAGGUAGAAAUUACCUAAGUAUCGAUUUUCUUAGGUUUUUUAUAUAUGAGUUUAAUCCUCUCAUAUUUGUUUUUAUUUCCUUUCUUUUUUCUAUUUUUAGUAAUACUUUUUUUAAGUGGUGACAAAUGAUUAUUGAUACUUGAAUUGUUAGUCUAACUAAUGUCUAAAAAAAGAGCUUUUAUCAAAGCAAAAUUCAUCAGGAUAAAAUAUUUACAUCAAUAAAAUAGUUACUAGUCAUCACAUUUCCUUGAUGUGUGUUGAUAAUGUCCCGUGAAUAAUGAAACAUCAUUAAAAUAUAGCAAUAACAAGUGGGUAUGCUACUUGAUUUCAAUUUUUAAUUUUAAUUGAGAAUUAAGUGUCAAUUUUUUUUCAAAUUGCUACGUUAGUAAAUGAGUUUAAUUAACUAUGCUUACGAAUAUGGCGUAUUACCUUCGUAUUUAUACAAGAAUUAUUUACGGUUCUAAGUACAUUCUCCCUCAUGUGUGGUGUGUAGAUAUUAGGUCAGAUUCACAUGCACAUUGUCUAGUUAUUUUUAAGACAUCUUAUAAAAGUUCUCUUCUUUCUUUUCAUAAACCAAACAUAUUUUGUAAUGAUUCAAUAAUUGAUGGUCCAUUUGAGUACUUUCUCUUUAGGAAGAUGAUGCAUCAACUUCUAUUUUUUUACAUAGUUUCAUACUCUUUUUUAGGUUAAAAGAAUUUAUUAAAAAUAUUUUAUUAAAAUAUUAACAAUUUUAUAGCAUGAUCCUUAUUUCUUAUUUGUUAUUAUUUUACCAUUUCACAAAUUAUUUCUGUUCCUCCUUCUUAAGCAACAUUUUUCUAUAAAAGUAACAAAAUGCAAAGAAACCAAGAUAAUAUUAAGUAUUACAUUCGGAGUGAUAAAAAUUAUUAAUGAAAAUAGAAAUUAUAAUCACUUCUCAAAAAGUUAUACCAAAUGGCAUUUAAUAUCCCCUUUAAUUUUAAAAUAAAUAUUUGUUUUUAUUUAUUUUGUAAAAUAAUAUUUGUACUUUAUAUUUUUUAAAUGAAUAUUCAUUUUCUUCUUUUUUGAAAGUAUAUCAACUUUAGUUUUUAAUAAUAUUCCAUCUCCUUAUUUUAUUGAUCAAAAUAAUACCGUUUAUAUUUUAAAUUUUAAUUUUCAUAUUGUUUUGCAAUUAUACCUAAUAUGAUAUUUUUAAAUAAAAUUACGUGUCAUUUUAUUAAAAAGCAUGAAAAAAUGAGUAUCAAUUAUUAAAAACAUAAUAGAGAUAAAUAUCAAUUUAAAAAUUAGAAAAAAAAUUGUUAUUACUUUACUAAACAGAUGGAUGCUAAUUUUAAAACCAAAGAAAAAGUAAGUACGAUUUUGGAAAAGAUAAGUGAUUUUUUAAUUAAAUAAUUAGACUUAUUGCUAAAGACAAAUUAUACCAACUAAGAUACCAAAAUUACAAUAUUGGUUAAUUGGCAUGGAAUAUAUAUCUAUUACUAUAUUUGGAGUUUUUCAAUGUAAAAUUUGAUUAGGUUAUUCCUUCUUGUUUGAGUAGGUUAUCAAAAUGGACCCCAUAGUUCAAUUUGUUGGGAGCAGUUGGUAAAAUAUGUUCUAUAUAAGAGGAACAUGGUGGAAAUACUCUUCAUCAUCAUCAUCUUCAUCUUUGUUCCUUUCUUCCUUCUACUACUUGCUUCUUUAUUAUCAUCAUAAUGUCACUUGCUGGUAAAAUCAGCACUGAAAUUGGGGUUCAUGCAGCGGCUGCAAAGUGGUUCAACCUCUUUGCAAAGCAACUCCAUCAUAUUCAAAACCUUACUGAUAGAGUCCAUGGAACCAAGCUGCAUCGUGGUGAAGACUUUCACCACAAUGAGUCCAUUAAACACUGGACUUAUACCAUAGGUAAUUAAACUUCUAAUAACUCUGUCAAUAUGCAACCCAAAGGUUGAGUUUUCUUUUAACCUAAGUUUGAAUAUGUUUUGCCUGUCUACAGUUCUCUCAGUUUUAGGUUUAGGUCCAGUUCAUUGCAUAUUGAUUUUGAUGUAAGAUAAUUUAGUGUUUACCUCUUUAAAAAUUUUAAAAAGUAGAAACUAAAUUCUAUCUGUUUGCAAUCAUAAAAGUUACUGAUAUUUCUAAAUUGCCUCAAAAUUGUUUUUUCUGAAUUUUUCCUUUUUUAUUAAUGUUUAGAAUCUAUGAUAUGUAUAUUCUUGAUUAAAUAUUUAUGAUGUUUUUAGACUGACAUUAUGAUGAUAAUAAUUCUUAGUGUGUUUGAAAGGUGCUAGCUUUUGAGGUAGUCAAGAGUGAUAAGACGUUUUAACUAUUGUUAGUGUAGAUAGUAGAGAUACAAAUGUGAGAUUCGUUAUGUUUAGAGAGGUGUGUAUGUUUCUAUGUUUUAUAUAAAGAUUGAACCAUUCUUAAAUAAGUUAUAUUUAUUUAUUUUUUCUUAUUUAUAAAAAAAAAUUAUUAUUUUUAAAUGGAAUAGCUGAAUUCAUUCCAACUUAUUCAAAAACAGGUAAUUUUCUUUAAGCUUUUGUGCUUAUUUUAAGCAGUUAGAAAAACGCAUACUAAACUAAAAACUACAUUUCUUUAUGCAAAUUUAACAAACGGGCUUAAUUAGUUUAAUUAUCAGUUUCUAGCUAUAAAUUCUCUUGAUUCUGGAAUUUGUUCCCUGUUGUUAGAUUCUGGAAUUUGAAAACUGAUUUAAUAAUUAGUUUAGAAACUUAUUUAAUAAUAAUAAAACAUAAUAUAAAAACUAAUCAAUCUUAAUUUUUCAAAUAUCUCUAAUUCAAUAUUUUUGAAUGAUUUUUUUUUAGUCUAAGUCGAUUUGUUUAUCUUUGUAUGAUUCUGAUCUUGGGUUUGAUUACUUGAGAAAGAACAGAUGGUAAGGUUACAACAUGUCAGGAGAGUAUUGAAUCCAUUGAUGAAGCAAAUAAAACAGUGAUCUACAAGCUCUUCGAUGGAGACAUCGAUCUCCAUUUCAAGCUCUUCAAGUUCGUAUUUCAAGCAAUUGAUAACAACAGUGGUGGCUCUAUUAUAAAAUGGACAGUUGAAUAUGAGAGGCUUGAUAAGGAAGUUGAUCCUCCUUAUGGCUACAUCGAGUUCCUGCACAAAUGCACCAGAGACAUCGAUGCUCAUCUUCUCAAGGCAUAGCUCCAAAAACUUAUGCAGAAAAUUAAAACUAAAUAAAUAAGAAACAGUGGCAUUGACCUUAGGUUAAGUGCUUUUCUAUAUAUUAAUAUAUCUGUCUGGAGUUUGACAGAAGGAUAGAUAGUUAUGCAGAUCCUUCCUUUGUGUGGAAUAAAUCUGGAUAUGCCUGUGAAGAUGUGGAGCUUGUUGAAUUAUUAUAUGUUCAAGUGUUUAAUGUGAAGUAUUCUGUAACAUACAUAUAUUUUCUCAUAUCUAAUAAUCAUAAUCUGUAUGAAAUAUUAAAAUAAAUAUAUAAACAUAAUAUAAAUAUAUCUAAAAUUUCAUUAGUUUAAUGUUUCAAAUUAUCUCUCUCUUCAUAAGACUAAUAAACAUUAUACGCUUCCGUGUAGAAUACACGAUCAUCACAGAUUAAAGAAAAACAACCACAAAACAAAACAAAUGGUAAGCUAGUUAUUUUUAAAACUUAUAACACAAAUAUAGCUUUAAACAUCCACAUAAAUCCAUCCUUUCUCAUGCAUUUCACACAACCAUCACGUGUCUGUCAACAAUUUCAAUAUUCAUCUUUCUCAUGUCAGACUUCUAUUGACUCAUAACACAUAGACACUUGACUCUACUUCCGGAAGACUCGUGUAUUGAAAUUAGCAUCCAGAGACCUGCACCUGUCAUACUACUACUGUGAAACCCACACAGCCAUGCACAUAAUUAUCUCAAUAUCUCCUCAUCAUCUUCAUAUGACAGGGUAAAUCCAUUUGAUCUGCUCUGAUCAGUUCUUUCAAACCUCAGACUCAGCCAAAUGGACCUCCUUCAACUCUCACCAACUGAAUAACUUCAUUUAUGUGAUUUCAUUAUAUCAGUAGGUCUCAUUCACAGGACACUCACAAAUCAAUACACCCUAAUAACAAUCUCAACACGGUAUUCUUUUUCCUGAAAAUACUAUGUCUUGAUUAGAAUUCAUAUUUUCAACCUCACAAUAUCCAACAUCAAACAAUCAAAUCAUACCAAUGUUUAGAAUUUCCAAAAUACACAACAAUUCAUUGACUAAUUAUAUAAAUGUCUAAUUAAAGAGAUUUUCAAUUAACUAUACAUGAAAUAAAAGUUUACAUACUUUAUAAGAAAAACUAUAUAGAAAUAAAUAAAUCAAUCUUUUAAAAGCGAAUAAAAAUUAGUUUAAUAUUUUUAUUUUAUUUUAUUUUACUUUAGCUUGAGCUAGAAUUCGCUAGCUUGAGCUAAAAUCCUCCAGAGAGUAUCCAUAAUUUUAGCUUGAGCUAAAAUUCGCUAGCUUGGGCUAAAAUCCUCCAGAUAGCACCCAGAAUUUUUAGCUUGAGCUAAAAUUCGCUAGCUUGGGCUAAAAUCCUCCAGAUAGCACCCAGAAUUUUUAGCUUGAGCUAGCACUUGCUAGCUUGAGCGAAAUAUGCAGAAAUUUUUUGCAUAACUUAAUAUACCUAUUAGAUUAUAAAUCAAUAUCUCAUUCAAUUCAUAAAUUAUAAAUCUACACAUUACAUUGACAGUUCCUGUUCAGCAUGAUACAAUCACUCUCAUUGAAUCAUUGAGUUAUUAUGUCCAUUUAUACAUAUAUAUGAUUUCUAAUUCCAAAACCAUUUAAAUCAAACAACCAAUUCUCAAUCACAACACUUUCAAUUUCAAACAAACUACCAUCUACUCAGAACAAGAAAUCUUGCAACAAAAUCUAGAAUUGGUGACCCCGUCACACUCACAUUCAAAUCUUCUAACCUAGGAUUCUAUUGAAGAUUUUAAACUAGCUUCCCUUACCUUUACUUGAGCAUAUGCUCACAAAGAGCUCCAAACCUACCAAAAUCUUCAAAAGUAGCUUAACCUGCACCAAAGAGUCCUGAUAAAAAAAUCUAACUAUAUCUCUAAGACUCUGAUCUACUAAAGACUAAUGCUAAAACUAAAAUAGGCACAUGCAUACACUUAAAUUGAGAUAGACCUACAAGUUCAAAAUUGGACUCAGAGAAGGGUAAAAAUUGAACUUACUUUAUCAGAGAUUCUGAUCGGGCAAUCUUAUAGGAUUCACUGCUAGGAGUCCAAUGGCAGACUCUGAUCCCCAAACUGAUAAGCAAGGAGAUCAUAAUCUUAGAGAGAAAGGAGAGAAAAGGAAAAAGAGGAACAAAACUGAACUUACUCUAUAAAAGAUUCUGAUCGGGCAGUCUUGUAGUCUUUGCUGCCAGGAGUCCAACGACAGACUCCGAUCGCCAAACUGAUAAGCGAGGAGAUCAGAAUCUUAGAGAGAAGGCAGAGGAAAGGAAAAUGAGUUUUUAGAGAGAUGAUGGUUCUUCUAAAAUGAAACCUGAAUAACUAAAUUUCUAUCUAUAUAGCCUUUUCACUUUAAUAAUAAAAUAUUCAGGUGCCAUUUUAAUUGUACCAUUUAUACUUUAAGACUAUUUUUCUCGAUCCUUACAUAUUCUAAUAUCAAAUAGUAGGAAUAACUCUUAUAAAAAUAAAUAAAAAACUCAGUCUCUUGUGUCAAAUUAUUAUCACAAAGAACCUAUUACUCUAAAGAGUAGAAUCAUACAACGAACACAUAUUACAUUAUUACUUCAAUUUUCAUCUCAUCCUCUCCCAUCAACAUAACAUUUACCAAAAAAAACAAAAUAAUGAUAGAAUUUAAUGUCUGCUACAUUCAAACAAAGAAAAUUUGAAAAGGGAAUCAAUCUUUCAACUCGCCAAUGUCCUUAAGUAUUGUUUACUCAAACAAUCAGUGUUUAUAAUGGCUUAAUAGACGUCGAUUUUUAAAUCGAUAUCUAUAAGUCAAAAUUAUAGAAGAAUUGUUCAUAAACUACGAUUUUAGAAUCGACGCUUAAUGUUUAAAAAAUUGUUGUCUAUAUGAAUAUUUUCACACUAGUGAAACUAAUGUGAACGGUCAGAUGUCCAGAAUUUGGGAAGGUGUGUGGAUUGAAAUUGUAAGUGAAAUUUGAAAACAUUGGAAUAGGUAUGUUUUUAAGAAUGAGAGAAUUGAUCAUAUAAAGGUUUUUGCGGUGACACAAAGAAAAUUCUUGACUUAGAUUACUAGUAAAGAAAAAGAUGCAAAGUUCACUUAUUCUCAAUGGUGCUUGGAACCUUUCGUAUGUAUGAAAUUUAUUAAAUAGCCCUUAGUUUGGUUUGUAUUACUAACUCCUUGUUUCAGAAAGGAAGAAUUUGCAUGUUUUGCAGGAUGAUUUCAAGUAGUUUGUCCCCCUGAGUAGAGUAAGGGGAUGUUAUGCACUAGGAGAAUAUGUUUCUUUCUUUAGAGUAUAAAGGUUCUAAGGAUAUUUGUUUGAGUGGUUGAAGGGGAGGGACGAAUCAAAGCGACAAGGGCUGAAUCUCAGUGGAUCGUGGCAGGAAGGCCACUCUCGCGUAUUUAAGUCGUCUGCAAAGGAUUCUACCCGUCGCUCGAUGGAAAUUGCGCUUCAAGGCGUCUCGCAAGGCUGAUUCACCUUNNNNNNNNNNNNNNNNNNNNNNNNNNNNNNNNNNNNNNNNNNNNNNNNNNNNNNNNNNNNNNNNNNNNNNNNNNNNNNNNNNNNNNNNNNNNNNNNNNNNCAUAUUUGAGUGCUAGGAAUAGACUUGAAAUGUUAAUUGCUAUUAAACGUCUGAGCUUCGUUCUAAGUUGUUCUUAUAAGUAUGCGAGGGAUCGAUAGUUAGGGAACAUUCUUAAGGAUUUUAUAUGCGAGGAAUCGAUAUAAAUGAUUUUUAUACGGGCAUCAAUUUCAAUUAAAGAACUUAAUAUUAACAUGCUAAUAAUCAAAAUACAUGAGAGUGAGAGAGAUGAAACUUAAUCCCAAUUUUUCCAAUUGAAGCAACUAAUUCUUUGUUUGUUUUCUUAUUGAUCAGUGCCAACAUAAUCACUUCAAACUCUCUUUUUUAUUGUUAUGUUGUUAUAUUUAGCGAAUAUUAUACUCGAUAAUUCACUGUUCUUUGUGGGAUCGAUAUCCGUCCUUAGGGACAAUUAUUACUUCUGACAAACGCCGUGCACUUGCCGUAAAAAGUCAUCAAGUUUUUGGUAACUUCAUAUGUAGUGUUAUUGUAAAGAGGAACUUGUGGUUUGUUUAUAUUUUUAUUACGAAGUUUAGGGUUUAGGGUUUAAAAUUUGUUUCUCUCUAUAUUGUUUUUGGGAUAAGGGUUACUUCACGGUUUUUGUUUAGAUUUGAAAUAAGUUAGGGUCUGAAGUCAUAUCUUUUUUUAAGAGUUAGAUAAUCCUUAAGUGAUCCUUAUUUAUUUAUUAUAUUUUAUGAUAAAAAAAAUAAUACUAACACAUGUUAGUAAUAUUAUUUUAAUUUUCUCUACACCCGGAAUCAACAUAUCACGUACAAAAACAGGAUAAUAAUAGAAAUUCGUAGCUACUAGUUUAAAAAAAAAAAAAAUCCAGUUUACUUUUUAUAGUAAACAUAACAAUUUCAGAACUCAUUAUAAAGCUACCCACCACGAGCAUGCUGGCGUGUGCAUAGUAUUAUAUGUUCAUGUGAAUGUGAUGCAUAUCAUUUAUGAUUUGUGUAAAUAUAUAUUAUCUGUAGACCCUGCUUUUAUGUUAUUGAAUUAAGUGAUUUUGUCAAAAUAUAUCUUGAGCAUGAAUGUAAUAUAAUAUAAAUUAUCAAAUAGAAAGUCACAGAACCCACCAUGGUUGAAUGAGCUAUAUUCUUCCUUUUCUUUUUCAUUUUGAAACUGUGUGGACGACGAGGUCUGAGUAAUAUUGAUUCACUCGAUAUACAAUUUGUUCUCGUACUAAUAUUUUCUGAAUUCUUUAAAAUUCUUCUCCUCUCGGGCACGGACUCCGUCGAUCGGUGAGGUACCUACGAUUACACUCCGACGCUUAAGUCAGUGCUAGUGAUUAGUCUGUUAUCUUAGGAUAUUAAAAAUGUACUUUUUCCUCCUUUAGAAGUCUCAUUUAUAGGUAAAGUCUUUUUCGGGCAAGUAAUUGGUUCACUAAAACAUGAGUAAUGGUGUGUAGUGGCUUCCUGAUACCACGGAGGUGUCUUUUGGUAUGUCCUUGACUAAUUCAACAUUAGUUGUAACUACUUUCUUACCACGUAUUUAUUAUGUUAUAUUUUUAAUUUAUAUUUUCGGUCGUCCGAUGUACGGUAAAACUUUUGUUAUUGAGAAUGAUAAUAGAUUAAGAAAUAUAAUUAAUAUUUUUAUUUUUAUUAAAUUAUUUUUAACUUGAUCUUUACUUGUCGUUAUUCUUUUGAAUCUUAGACAUUCUGUAAUUUUUUUUAUUUAGCUAUAAAGUUGUAGCAGUUAUAUAGCACAUGAUAUGACUGAACUUCUGAACAAAUCUCUGCACCGCCAUUUGUUUUUGAAAUAACAAUUCAGUUUAUUAAAUUUAAAUUUAUAUUAAUUUAAUUUGAAUAAAAUUGAAGCUUAUUAUAUAGGAUAAAUAUAAAUUCAGAUUUAUUUAACUUAUUUAAUUGUUAUAUGUUUUAAAAUUAAAUUAUCAAUUUUAGGAGAGAGUGAUUAUGUAGCUCAAAAAGUUAUGCAGAAAAUUAAAAAUAAAUAAAUAAGAAACAAUCCUUGACCUUAUUUUAAGUGAUUUUCUGUGUAAUAAUAUAUCUGUGUGGAGUUUGAAGAAGGAUCAUGGUUAUGCAGAUCCUUCCUUUGUGUUGAAUAAAUCUGAAUAUGCAUGUGGUGAUGUCUGGAAGCUUGUUGAAUUAUUAUAUGUUGAAGUGUUGAAUGUGAUGCAUAUUAUUUAUGAUUUCUGUAAAUAUAUAUGGAAUCGUAUUAAUGAACAUAUUUCAGUAAUUUAAUGUACUUGUUCUUCUUUUUUUUAAGAGAAUUAAUCAUGAAUGUAAUAUAUAUAAUAUAAAUUAUCUGAAUAGAAAGUCAUAGGAAUCACAUCAUGGUUGAGUAAUAUAUAUGGAGAAUGAUAAUAUAGAUUAAGAAAUGUAAUUAAUAUUUAUAUUUUUAUUAAAUUAUUUUUAACAUGAUCUAUAUUUCUUGUUAAUCUUUUCAAAGACACUCUCCGUUUUAUAUAACAUAUAAAACUGAUAUUUUUUUAAGUUCAAAUUUUAAGCCUUUUAAUUUUUUUUUAUCAGCUUUAAGCCUUUUAAAUAUUUAUCGUAUUUUUAUUUAAUAAAUAAAAUUUUAAUAUAUAAUAUUAUAACAUUCACAUUAUUAAUAAGUUAACAUAAAAUAUUUUAAUAUUUAAUUUCAUACUUAAAAUCUAUUUAUUACAUAAUUUUUUCAAAAAAUAACACGUUUUAAUAAUUCUUUAAUUUUAUAUAUAUGCAUGACUAUACUCGACUAAUCUGAAGGUUGACAGGUGUACACUUCACUAAUCUGAAGGUUGACAGAUGUAUUUACAAUAUUUUUCUUUGUUGUAAAGAUUUCAAGAUAAUCUGAAAGUUGGAGAAGUGAAAUAAUAACUUCGAAGACGGUUUAAAUUAGGAAAUUGACAACGAGAACUAUCAAGUUCUGGAAAGACUAGUGGGUCGGUAAUGAACUUGAAGACUAAGUUCUCAAGGGUUUUUUUUUUCUUUGAGGACUAAGUUCCCAAGGUUGAUAAUGUACCAUAAUCAACUAAACUAAAGAUAACUUCCAACAAUUCUAUCUAAUAGAACUUAAUAGCAUUGAAGAUAGAGUUUAGAAGGAUAUUAGAGUAAGUCUUAUUUAUUUGAAAUGUGUAGAAUUAUAAGAACAAAUUAUAGGAAUGGUAAAAUUGAACUUUUUUUAUCUAUAAUAAAAAUAAAUAAAUAAAAUGUGUAGAAUUAUAAGAACAAAUUAUAGGAAUGGUAAAAUUGAAUUUUUUUUAUCUAUAAUAAAAAAAAAUAAAUAAAAAUAUUUAGGGUUUACACUUAGAUUAAAGAUAAAGAGAUAUUCUCCCAAAAGCUUAGGUCAUAUAUAAAGAACCCAAAAACAGAUCUCAUGUAUUCAACUUGACAUUUAUAUCCAAUAGAGUGUAUAAGGGAACUCUAUUGGCUAUUAGUUAAUCAACAUUCUUUAAACUUUGGUUAAAGAAUAAUUUAUUUAUUUAUUAGAAAUACACUAUGAUUAAUUAGAAAGAGAAGCAAACAAAAGAUAUUCGUAAUAAAAUGUAUGAAAAUGUGGAGUAACCAAUAAUUCUAGGGCACUCGUUGUAAUUAUCAUCAUAAUAAUGACAAUCAAAUCUUAUACAUUAUUUUAAGAAACAAAUAUUGCUCUCCAGUUUUCAAACAAAACACCUUUUUUAAAGAAUCUUAUGAAACAUAUGAAUCCAAAACAAUAUAUUAGGUAAUAUUAUUAUAUUGUCAAAAAAGUUCCCCUCUUAAAACCGACAAUAUUAUUGAAGACACGUGUUACCAUUUCUUCUCAAACAAGAAAAAAAAAACCCUAAAAAAAACAAAACUAUUUGCAUGAUUCAAUAAUUGAUGGGAUGACUUUGGGCACUUCCUUUAACAAGAGAAUGCAUAAUAAUAUUUUUUUUGUCAAUUACAAAUCUCAAAACUAACUUCAUAUUUAUUUUGGAUACAACUUCACGUUAUCUCCAUGUUAUUAUCUAUUAGUUUGACAUUUUACAUAUUAUAUUUUUAUUGCUUAUCAAAAAUAUUGAUUCAUUUUUAAAUUUCAACCAGUGGAUAUAUAAUAAAUAAUAAAUAAUAAAUAAAAAUUGAGUAACUGAACUGAAUAUUUUUUAAAGAAGAAAUUAUUAGGUGCUUACCUAUGUUGUAGGGUAUAGAGACCCCACAAUUGAGUUAAGUUGUGAGGGGUGUGGGUAAAUUAUGUGCUAUAUAAGAGGGGGAUAUGGUGGCAUUAUUCUUCACCAUCACUCAUCUUUCUUCUUUCUUCUAUAACUUGGUUCUUUCUUCAUCACCAUGGUACUUUUGGGCAAAAUCAGCACUGAAAUUGGGGUUCAUGCAACUGCUGAAAAGUGGUUCAACCUCUUUGCAAAGCAACUCCAUGAUGUUCAACACCUUGCUGAGAGGGUUCAUGGAACCAAGCUGCACCAGGGUGAAGACUGGCAUCACAAUGACACCAUCAAGCACUGGACUUAUGUCAUAGGUAAUUAAACUUCUAAUAACUCUAUGCACAUUAUUUUUCUCCCUAUCUUUUUUAAUACACUUUUAUAUUAAUAAUAAAAACUACUUUAAUAUCUAUAUUAUUGUGCUUUUCUCAUUACAAAAAUUUAGAUGGGAGACAAAUCCUCCAUAAGUUGUGUUGGAUCUCAAUAAAUAUAUAGCAUAUGUUCACUUAAUCUGACAUAAAAAUAACAAUAACCACAUGAUAUAUAUAUAUAUAUAUAUAUAUAUAUAUAUAUAUAUAUAUAUAUAAAGAAAUAUAUGGACUUUUAACGUGAUUUAAUUUCAAAAAAAUAAAUUGUAAGUAGUAUUAGCACAUGAUAUAUUAAAUAACAGGCCUCUUUCUCAUAUAAAAAAAAUUGACUAAAAGAAAAUCAUCAAUAGAGACCAAAAUAAUUAGUUGCAAUAGUAACUAAAUAAGAGACCAUUAUAGAAACUAAAAAAAUUGGUUUCUAAAUUAGUGUCUAUUAUUGUUAAAUAGUUUCUAAAUUGGUAUCUAAUUAGCAACUAAAGUUUUAACUACCAAUUAUUUAGAUUCUAAAUUUUGUAGCAAAAUCUUUGGUUGCUAAUUAGAUACAAAUUUAAAAACCAUUUAACAAUAAUAGAAACUAAUUUAGAAACUAAAAAUUUAUUUAGUCUCUAAAAUGGUCUCUAAUUUAGUCACUAUAGCAACUCUAUUUUUUUUUUCUAAAAUUGGUUUCUAUUUCGUGAUUUUCUUAUAAUAUGAACAUCUUGAUAGUGUAAGUAAAUGUUAAUAGAUAGUACAAUAAGGAGUUGAUACUAAAUGAUAAAAAGUUCUAUAAUAGUUAUUAAAAUAGACAUUAAUACUAUUUUAGAAUGUGACUCUAAAGUUAUCUAGACUCUAAAGUUGGAUAGUAAGAUAUGAUUUGCAUCUCACAUCCAUAAACUUUAAUUUAGAAUGAUGUGAGAUUCUAUGACUUCUUAGGACAUGGACUAAAGUCCAGAUUUGCACAUUUAAAUAUUUAUUUCUCAAAAAGAUAAACUAUACAAGAUUAUCUAAGUUACUAUUGAAAAUAAUGUUAUAUACAUAUAUAAAUGAAUUGUUCUCUUAUUUAUAAUUCUUAUAGAAUGAUUCUUUAUUGUUUGUGAAAUAAUAUGUAGAUGGUAAGGUUACAACAUGUCACGAGAGUAUUGAAUCCGUUGAUGAAGAGAACAACACAAUCUACUACAAACUCUUCGGCGAAGACAUAGACCACAGGUUUAAGGUGUUUAAGCUCAUAUUUCAAGCCAUUGAUAAGGAGAAUCAUGGUGUUAUUAUAAAAUGGACCAUUGAAUAUGAGAAGCUUGAUGCAGAAGUUGAACCUCCAUAUGGCUACAUCGAGUACCUGCACAAAUGCACCUCAGAUAUUGAUGGUAAUCUUCUCAAGGCAUAGUUCCAAAAACUUAUGAAUAAAAAUAAUGGAUGUGUGUUUCACCAGAAGGAUGCUUUUUUCUUUGUUUUUUGCUCAGCACCAGAAGGAUGCUUAUAUAGAUCCUUCCUUUGCAUUGAAUAAAUUUGGAUGUGCAUAUGUAAUCAGUGAUUUCAAGUGUGCUAAAUUUCAUGUUAUAAAGUUUUCAUUGUGAUGUGGGUUUAGGGUUUUUGAAUUGUUUAAACUUAACUUAAUUUGCCAAACCUUCACCAACACGUGGAAACGCGUUAACGAUAAGUUAUGUAUUUUAAUGCGUUAACCAAUUGAAAAGGCAAAUAUGGUAUAUAAAAUAAUAACAAUUUAUGACUUCCCAGUUGUAUUUGUCACCUGAUUCAGAGAAGUAACACUUUUGUAUAAGAUUCUAGUAACUAAAGUAAUUAAAUUGUUUUAUAAAAAUAUUAUAGACAUGUGUUUAAAAAUUAUAGAUGGAUAUAGGUAAACGAAAUAAAAUAAGAUUGGGAUAAUAAUAGUUAGAAGACAACUCACUGAACACGAGGUUCUCCAGAAUGUAUAAAAAUAUAAUGUUAGACAAUGGUACUUUUGGAAAAUUUUGAGAUUUGGAAUGAUAAGAUAUGACAGUGGAUAAUGCUCUGGAGAAGGACUAGUUUGAGUGGGAGAAAAAACGUGAAAAAAAUUAUAUUUUAUUUCACUACUUUUUUGGAAUGGAGACUACAAUCUCUUUAAAUAGUUGUUUUUAUGGAUUAUAGGAAAUCAUUCUCUUUGUUUCUUAGGUUGGAAAUUUGUACUUAGGUUUGGUUUGAAUUGGUUUUCUUUGAAAAAAAAAAAAAAGUUUAGACAUCCUUUAAGGGUCUUAUUUAAUUAUAUUUAUUUAUUGUUAUAAAAAACAAUAAAUUUUUCAAAUUCUCAUAUUUUCUUAUAUUAUAAAUUACAUUUAAAAUCAUGGUAUAAAUGACAUUCAAAACUAUAAUUAAAGAUAAUAAAUAUUGACAAUUCAAAUUUUAAAAUAAAAUUGACGACGACUUUAAGGCUUAACAAAUUCUUCCCUCAAACUUAAACCUUUACUAUUCUUUAUUCAAAUUGCUUUUAUGAUAUGCAUGUGAAUAGCAUUAUUUGGGGAAUUUGGAAUCAUAGAAAUAGGAUUAUUUUUAAUAAUGGAGUGGUAAAUCCUAUUGAAAUUUUUGCUAUGGCACAAGUAAAGGUGUGGGCAUGGAUAACUUAUAAAUUCCUAAAAUCAAAUUUCUCUUAUUCUGAUUGGUGUUUUGAUGUAUAUUAAUGUUUGAAAUCACUACAUUGAUGGUUAACGAUCUCCCUCCUCUUUUAUGGUGGGUUCUAUUUUGGAUGAGAGCACAUGUUGCUGAGUGUGAUUCAACCUCAAAUGCUGGGGAGGAGCAAGGAACCAACAUACCUUUGUGGAGAUGUCAUGCCUUAUAUCCUUGACAUGGGUUAUGUUGUUGCGUUAUUUUUUGUAUUAUAGUAAGUUGUAUAUGUACAAAUUUUGGCUAAGAACUGGGCUUAUUGUAUGCGGGUUGGAGUACCCCAAGUAUUCCCAUUUAUAUUAUUCCUUAUUGUUGAUUAAAAAAAAUUGUUUUUAUGAUUGUCAUCACCACACUUCCAAUUUUAUGUUUCACCUCACCCCUACUGCUUCCAACAUUUUCCCUGUAGCCACCAAACUAUUAUGGAUUAGAAGCAACUUCAGUCCUCUUGAUUGCAACGACCCAUAUAGAAUAUAGAGUUCUGGUUUGAAUACUUUUAGUUUCCCAAAUAGAAUCUUCUACACUUUUACCCUUGUUACUAAAAUGAUUUAAGGAAGACUUUGACUUCAAUGAACUUGGAGCAUAAUGAUCAGACCAUAUUUCACAUGAUACAUCGACAACAUUUCAUUUAUCUUUUUUUCCAAAUAAGAACAACUAUUUUUAAGUACACAUAUGAACCACAAUUUCAAUUCAAACCUCAACAACCAAAAUCAUUAAUGGUAGACAUGACUUCAAUUAACAUGCAAAAAAACAAGUUCUUCAAAUAAACAAUGUUAUCUAAAAUUAGUACAACUUCAUCAUGAAAACUAAAGUAAUGUAUUAACACAUAACUUCAACCUCAUUUAAACAAAGUCGUCUAACUUUAAAACGACUUAUAAUAUAAUAAAUUUGUAUCAUCUUUAUAUAACUUACCUCCAUUUCACUACAAGAAAAUUAUUAAAUAAUAAAUAAAUUUAAAAAUUAUUUAGUCAUUUUAUUAACUAAAUUAUAUACUAAUUUAAAGACUAAAAAAUUAGUCAUAUUUAAAGUGAUUUCUAUUAUUAAUAAAAAUUUAUAAAAUAGUUUUUAAAUUUGUACCUAAAUUAGUUACUUAAAUUUUAACGACUAAUAUUUUAAAUUUUAAAUUGAUCUCUAAAAACCUAACAUAGAUCAAUUUAAAAUAUAAAAUAGUAAGUAAUAAAAUCUUGAUAGCUAAUAAUUAGAUACUAAUUUAAAAAUUAUUUUAAAUUUUUUAUUAACAAUAAAAAUUAUUUUAAAUACUAAUAAUUUUUUAAUUUAUAAAAUAAUUAGAUAAUAAUUUUUUAUUUUAGUUUUUAAAAUUAUUUUUUUAUUUAAUGAAUUUUUAUAGUAUUUAUAAUAAAAAAAUGAUUUAUUUUGAUAAUAUAUACGUAAAGUCACUUUCGUUCCUGUGUUGUCAUUUGGAAAGUGUGUAACCCUAACAGCAAAGCAAAUUUGUCAAUUGCGGUAAUAAUUUUGUGAGUGGAAAGUGCAGUUAGUGGUGGGGGCAGACUUGUAUUAAAGGAAAGAGAUUAUAUAAUUCAGUAACAUGGAGAGACAUAAUUAGUAAGAAAAUCACAUGAACUUGUGAUGUUGACAAUACCAAGUCCAAGAUAAUUACAUUGCAUGUGCUAUUCUUAACUAUUGUGAGUUAUAUUAUUAUAUUUUUUUAUUAAUAAAAAAUAAAUAAAAUAAAAUAAAAAUUUAGGGGUGUUUCAAAUCUUAUAUAGAAAAUACUAAUUUAGCAUCAUCAAACUUUAUAGAUUAACAAACCAAUCUUCAAAAAAAUAUAUGAAAAGAGUCAUAUCAUAUCAUGAGUCAGUUGGAACAAUGUAUGCAAACCUCUGGAGGAUGGUGGGUUGGAGAUUAAAGACAUUCGAAAGUUUAAUAAAACUCUUCUGACCAAAUGGAAAUGGCGUCUGGUGAGUGAAGAACAAAAAAAGUGGAAGGAUAUUUAAUUUCUAAUAUGGUGUUGAAUCAAGUCGAAGUCAAAUACCUAAGAAGUACCAGUCAAGCUUGGUGGUGGAGGCAUCUGUCUAAAGUAUGGGGAGAGGGCAUUGCAGAAGGUUGAUUUAAAGAAGCUCUGGUCUGGAAAGUGGGCACUGAGGAUAAAGUCAGAUUCUGGAAGGAUGUUUGGGUAGGUAAUUACAAGUUUAUCUCCUUAUAUACCCGAGGUUGCAUUCUAUUUCUUUGGAUCAGGGGCAGAAGGUGAGUGAGGUUGGAGAGUAGGAAGACUCUGUAUGGAAAUGGCGACUUAGAUGGAGGAGAAUCAGAUACGAGUGGAAGUCCUUACAAGAAGAAUAAAUGUUAAGGUUUAUUUCCACAGGUUAUCUUAAUAGGGAGGCACAUGACCUUCAGGUGUGGGGAGUUUUCUAUGAAAUCAGCUUAUAAAGGCUUAGGUUCUUCUACUAACGGGGUCCAAACGGGUAUUUUCAACCAGUUGUUGCAGGCUAAAGCAUUCCCUAGUGCUCUAGCAACAACUUGGAGGAUUUUGUUGGACAAAUUACCUACUAGAAGUAGCUUGAUCAGGAGAGGGAUACUGAUUAGUUCUCCUUCUGUGUCAAGCACCAGAAGAGAGUACCCAACAUGUUUUCCUGGGAUGUGUUGUUGCUCAAUGUGUUUGGUCCCUGUGCUUGAGAUGGAAAUGUAUUUUCUCCGUCCAACAUAAGGACCUGAGGUGCCACUUUGAGAAUAUUUAUUUAGUGCACUUGAGCCCUACGCAGAAUAAGGUGUAGACGGGUUUGUGGGUGGCUGGAGUAAAGAGUAUUUAGGAACACAAAACUCAAUAUUGUCCCAAGAUUUUGUUGCUUCGUCAACGACAACUGGACUAAACCUACGACGACUGAUACGAAGUUUGAUAUUCCUAUAUGAAUCCAUUUCCUUAUCUAGCUGCUCAACGUUUUUAAUGUCAUAAAACUGGACUAAACCUUUCUCCUCUCUCACCUAUUAAGCUUUCUAGAUAUAAAUACCUCCUUCACUCUUCCCCACCUUUAAAAUAUUUUGAACAAUUCAUACUCUCCAUAGCCAUCGGAGAAACUAGAAAAGAAAAAAGUUGCAUAGUAGCUUGAGGUUCUGAUAGCAUUGUUCCCUUCUACAUCCCUCAUCUGAGUAUACCAUUCUGGCAUAGGAUAUUAACCCUUAUUCAUACCUAUAUCGCUUUCUUUUUAUCACAGAUAUAAUUAACAUGGAAUUUGGUUUACGUGCAAAGAAAAGUUCGAAGAUGGCACAACAAGUGGAACUGCGAGAUGAACAUGGAAACCCUAUUGAACUCACAGAUGCAUAUGGAAACCCUGUUAAAUCUUAUGUUAUUUUAAAAAAGAAACAUUCCUUUAGUUUUCAAGCAAAAACACAUUUUUGAAACAAUCGUAUGAAACAUAUGAAUCAAACAAUAUAAAAAUCGAAUGUGUUAGGUAAUAUUAUCUUGUCAAGUUUUUUCCCUCUUUAUAUUGAAGAGACGUGUUAUCAUUUCUUCUUACACAAGCAAAAUAAAUAGUAAAAAAAAAAAAAAAACCCUAUUUGCAUUGACCCAAUAAUUAAUAGGAUGACUUUCAGCACUUCCUUUAACUAGAGCAUAUUAAAAAAAAUUCAAUUACAUAUUUUAAAACUUCCUCUUAUUUAUAUUAGAUAUUACUUCAUGUUAUGUUCUCAUGGCUUAUCUAUUAGUUUGACAUUUUACAUAUUGUUAAUUAUCCCUCUUUGCUUUAAUAUUAUAAUUGAUUCAUAUUAAAAUUUAAAAUAAUUGAUAAAUAAUAAAUAAUAAAUAAAAAUUGAGUAACAUAUGAGUAACUUAAAAGAAAAAAAUAUUAGCCGUUUACCUUUAUUGUGGGGUAUAGAGAUCCCACAAUUGAAUUAUGGGUGGGUAAAUUAUGUUCUAUAUAAGUGGGGGAUCCCAUUAUUAUUAUUCUUCAUAAAUCCUCAUCUUGUUCUUUCCAUUUCUUGCUUCUGUAAUUGCUUAUUUUUUCAUCACCAUGGCACUUUUUGGCAAAAUCAGCAUUGAAAUUGGGGUUCAUGCAACUGCUGAAAGGUUGUUCAAAAUCUUCUCAACGCAACUCCAUGAUGUUCAAAACAUUGCUGAGAGUGUUCACGAAACCAAGCUGCACCAUGGUGAAGACUGGCAUCACAAUGACUCCAUCAAGCACUGGACUUAUGUCGUAGGUAAUUAAACUUCUAAUAUAUAACUCUGCAGAUUAUUUUCUUCCUAAGUUUUAAUACACUCUUAUACUUUCUGUAAUUCCCUCGGAUUUACUUCUUAUCUUUCAAAAGUUGUAUAUAUUUGGAGUUGGUUAGUUAUAGAAGAUGAGUUUUGACUUAAUUUAAUUUCAAAAAUUAAAUUAUAAGGUAAUAUUAGCACAUUAUAUGUAUUUUUUUUUAUCAGCAAAUAGCAAUGAAAUUAAAUGAGACCACUUCAGGGGUGGUCCAACUCUUAUACAACAAAACAGAUUUUCUCAAAGAGCCUUUUCAUCUACAUAUCAAGCAAAAGACCUCCUACUCUCUUUCCUAUCUCAAUCAAUAAUAAAAGAAACCCAAGAAACAACCUUUUACAUAAAAACUAAACAGAAUACAUACAUACCAAGGAUUCAAGACACCAAUCAGAAAAUGAGAAAUUAGCUGACGGUAUCUUUGAGCACAUUAUAUGUAUUAAAUAACAUACAUCUUUUUCUCGUCUAUCAAAGAAGAGUUGAAGAUGUUGAGUGUGUAAGUAAAUGUUAAUAAAUAGUCACGAAUUGAUACUGAAUGAUAAACGUUCAAUAAUAAUUAUUAAAGUAGACAAAAUACUAUUUUAGAAUGAGUUUAAACUUAUCUAGACUCUAAAACAUUGGGUAGUAAGAUAUGAUUUGCAUCUUACAUCCAUAAACUUUAGAAUGAUUUGAGAUUUCACGAGUUCUUUGGUUUUUUUUUUUGUGUUGUUCUUUUUUGAGUUGAUCUGUUUUAGGUUUUAAAUUCUUGUUUUUCUUUUUAUUUGGUGUUUGUUUUACCUUUUUUGAUUUGGUAGCUUCUUUUGGUGUUUUGAGUUUAGUUGUUAGGUAUUAGUUUCUUUGAGAUUAUUGGACGUGAUAUAUUUGUUUGUUGGAUCUGUAUAAAGGUUGAAUCACCCAUGAAGUGAUUUUUAUUUAUUUAUUUAUUUUUGCUGAUAAAAAAAAUAUGAGUGACUAAAGUUGAAAUUGCACAUUUAAAGAUUUACUUCUUAAAAAAAAACUAUACAUAUAUAUUACAAUUGAAAUAAAAUGUUAUGUAUAAAUGAAUUUUUUCUUAUCUCUAUUCUUAUACAAUGAUUCUUUAUUGUUUGUGAAAGAAUAGAUGGUAAGGUUAGAACAUGUCAUGAGAGUAUUGAAUCCCUUGAUGAAGAGAACAAAACAAUCAAGUGCAAACUCUUUGGUGAAGAGAUCGACCAUAAGUUUAAGGUGUUUAAUCUCAUAUUUGAAGCAAUUGAUAAGGAGAAUGGUGGUGCUAUUGCAAAAUGGACCAUUGAAUAUGAGAGGGUUGAUGAAGAAGUUGAUCCUCCAUAUGGCUACGUGGAGUACGUGCACAAAUGCACUUCAGAUAUUGAUGCCCAUCUUCUCAAGGCAUAGCUCCAAAAACUUGUGAAUAAAAAAAUAAAUAAUGGAAGUGUUUGAUCAACACAAUAAUUAUAUAGAUAUUUUCUUAUGUAGUGUCGCUUUGGCCGAGUGGUUAAGGCGUGUGCCUGCUAAGUACAUGGGGUUUCCCCGCGAGAGUUCGAAUCUCUCAGGCGACGUUUCUUUUUAGCCAAUAGAAAAGAACACAUUUUUAUAUAUAUUUUGUGCUUCUUAUAUGUUUUUUUAAUUCUUUAAAGUGAACUUCAUUUGCCAAAUCUAAUAUUUUGUAAAGACAUUAGGUGACAUUCAAAAGUUUACUUUGCUUAAUUGAAAAGUUUUAAAAAAAAAUCAAAAUAUUCUCAUGCUAAAGUUCGAAUCAUAGUCACUGACGCUACCAUCUGCGCUUUACGUUUUCUUCAACCUUUUACUUUUGAAUUUUAACAAGGUUUCUUUCUUUCAUAGUAACUCUUAUCACCUAGCAGACCAACUCAAGAACUUUGACCCUACUUACAGUGUACAUCAUUUAUGCUCCAAAAAAACAUUUGACAAUAUUUUGCAAAUCACAAAUCGAAGAAAUGAAGUUCCUCCAACCAACUAAGCACAAACCAAAAUCCUUUCACAUUCAACAACCUACAAGAAGAAAAAUAAACCACGGUCUUGUCUACAACAAGACAAAAAAUAGUAUUUCAUAAAACAUAGCAGAAGAAUAACAAGUCAAUUACAAUUUAUAGUACAUAGUGUAUAAAAUGAAUAACAAUUUAUUACAUCUCAAUUCUAUUUGUCAAAGGAUUCAGAGAAGAAGUAACCCUUUUAAAUAAGAUUCUAGUAAUUAAAGUUAUUUAAUUUUUAUAAAAAUAUUAUAGCUUGUGUUUUAAAAUUAUAGAUGGAUAUACUAUAGUUUUAUUUUAUUAUUGGCUUAAUUAUUUUUUAUCCUUAUAUUAAGGAAUAAUAGUUAAUUUGGUCUAAUUAAUUUUAAGAAAAUCAAUUUUAUCUAAUGAUUUUAAAAAAAUCAUUUUGAUCCGAAGGUUUAUAUAAAAGUAUGAAUUUUGUCCAUUCGGGUAACUUUUUACAUAAACAACAUUAAGUGGUGAUGAUGUGAGAUUAAGUAAGGCAAUUGUUUUAUGUAGUGUUAAUAGUUGUUUUAUGAACUAUAUUUCAUAUUUCGUUGUUAUUUUGUUUGGUUAUUAAAUUUUAACACAAGUUAUUAUUGCGUUUGUGUAUAAAAAAAAUUAUGGUAAUGAAUGUAAAAAUAUUUUUAAGGAACAGUUAUUAAAGUUUUUAGAGAACGGUUUUAAAAUUACAAUUUAUAUAAAUAUUAUCUAAAGUUAUUCAAUACUUAUCACAACUCUGGUCUUCUUCUUUUUUAUCAGCAAUAACAAAUAUAUAAAUGUGAACCACUUCAGGGGUGGAUCGACCCUUAUACAAAAAAUACAUAAUUCAACGUCUAACAGGAUCCUCCAAACCAAACAGGAAAAAGCACAGUCCACACUAAGAACUUAAAAACCUAAAAAGCAUCACAUAACCAAACGCAUACAUUCCAAAGGUUUCAAACACCAACUGGAAAAGGAAACCGAAGCUGUACCUGUGUGGAUGUCAGGGCCAGAGUGAUAUUGUUCCACGUCAGUACCUAAUUGUUGUUGUCCAGCAGCUGCUUAAUCGUCCUAGUCCUUUCUCCUCUGCGCGUAUGCUCGUCCGGUCGGCGGGGGUACCUGCGAUUGCACUCCGACGCUCAAGUCAGUUCUCCUCCUUUCUCAGUGUUUCCAGAAGAUUAAAAACGUACCUUUUCCCCCUUUCAGCAGUUUUCCUUAUAGGUUGACCUGGGCUUUGGUACGUGUGGGCCAAAUAGGUAGUUGCUGAAAUCGUGCUUAGUGGUGUUUGGGUCAUGAGUAGUGGCUUCCUGAUAUUAAGGGAGUGUACCUGAAAAUGUCCUUGACCCAUUCAACUAUAGUUAUAACUGCUGUUCUGCCACGUAUUUAUUUUGUUCGUUUUAUUUAACAUCCAUGUUCGGUCGUACGGAGCCGAGCGGUACACUUGCCCCCCAAGCUCGAGGGUAUGAUUGGCCGAAGAGUCGUACAAGAUGGAUGGGGUUUCAAGAUGGUGCUUUACAGCUGGUUCCUCUUAAAUGUGUCGCAGAGAUGUGACGUUUGCCAGAGCCGCCGUUUAGGCGUGUACUGUUUCAUCUGACGUUUUCAACGGUGGCGAUUGAGUGUCGUUUCGAAUGCCGAGUGAUUGUACCCGUUGGAUCAAAUGAGAUCCAAUGGUGCUGGACGUUUGAUGAGGGGGUUCUUCUCUCACUUCAUUGCCUAUAAAUAGCAUUUCAUUUGUUGGGAAAGGGUUUACGCACUCUUUUUGCUUCCUAGAUCUUGUGCUUUCUGCUCCGAGCGUCGAGUCUAUUGCGGUUGUCGAGUUUGCUUCAGUUUCAUCCGCCCCUAAGGUUAGUGAUGCCCUCUUCUGUAGAGUCUUCUUGUAGUGUAGAUUCGUCUUUGACUCGCACCGCUUCUAGUGGCGCGAGUGAGUUUUCGGAAGGCCCGAGUUACGAUUGGGUCGAUCCGUCCGUCCUUAAUAUUUCCACGAAAAUUAAAACGGCUGAUGACUUAGAUAAGUUCUUUUCUGCCAACCCUGGUUUUGUAGAGUCUGAUUGUCCGAAUGAGGCGUUAACUGCAGACGUCUGCGGUGUGACCGACCGUGUCUGCCACGGUCGGGAGAACGCGCCGCAUGAUUUCUUUUUUGUAUAUAGUACCUUCUUUUCUAAUUUACGCAUGACCUUUCCUUUUGAUGAUGUUACCAUGGGAGUCCUUCGGACUCUCAAUGUUGCGCCCACGCAGUUGCAUCCCAACUCGUGGGCGAUUCUCCAAGCUUUUCGCGUUAUAUGUUGAGUUUUCAGGCUUAAUCCUACCCCGCAGUCGUUUUUGUAUUAUUAUAAUACGUAUCCGAGCACCCCUGUGAGUUGGUUGUCGUUGGUCAGUCGGUCGGGUAAUGUUCGGUUUGCUCCAUACACCACGUCGUAUAAAUUUUUUAAAGAUAAUUACUUCAAGAUUUUUGUGGAGCCUGAUGGCCGUGACCUCUUUUAUAAUGCUGAUGGAACAACUAAGUUUCCUUUCCAUUGGACGGAGAAACCUUUCCGGCUCGAUAACCAGUUGUUGCAUUCAUUAACACCUUUUGAUAAGGAGGUUAUAUUAGUUAUCGACCGGUUACCUUGUAGGCUGCCCACCCGAGAGCUGAUAGCCUUGUAUGGGUCGUCCAAAAAGUGGGCAGAUUUAACUGGUAUGUGUAUUCAAUUGUUGUCGGUCGCUUUGUUGUGGGAUUGCGUUUUGACGGUUUGUUUUAUGUAGGCAUUAUUUUAAGGAUGGAUCCGAGUCUGAGCAAGUUCAUGAAGGAUCUGAAGAAGCAGGCCGAGGAUCGUAAGGUUUCUUCUGCCGCUGGUAUUGUACUGAAGCCAGCUGCUGUAGAGGUGGUGUCGCCCAAGAUUGCUGUUGCGCCACCUGCGAACAAGAAGAGAGGACGUCCGUCCAAGGUUCAAAAAUUGGAGGUGGGUACCUCAUCUGGUGGCAAACCGGUUAGCAUGUUCGGACUAGGCCUUAGGGUUGCUCUGACCAUGCAGUUUGAUCUUCUACCCAAGGAUGAAGGUAUACUGGCUGCUGUACCUACAUUACACCUGAUCGAAGAGAUGGUGGAACUCCAAUGUCGGGCGGCUGUGGUGAGUCGAGCCAUUGGGGAUGAGCUGAAGAGAGCUGAGUCGAUCGUGAUUCCGAGACUAAGGGCCAAACUGGACGAAUCAUCCCAAGCUUUAAAAAAGGCAUUGCAGGAUAUCGAUGCCUGUCAGAAGGAGAAAGAGAGGGAGGUGCAGAUGAUUAAAGAAGAAAAAGAAACGUUGAAGGCCAUGGUUACGAAGUUGACGGCCGAACGGGAUGAGCUUUUCCAAGAGAAAGCUGAUCUAACGACCGAGAAGGAGUCACUCAAUGUUGAAAUUGAGAAGUGUCAAGGUUUCAUUUUGCGUAUCAACGAAGAAAGCUUCAAUCAAGGUCUUCGCCAAGCGGCCUUUUUUCAUGGUAUACCGGCCGAUGACUCACGGUACGAUCUUGGCAAGGAUGUUGUGAACGGUCGCCUUGUAUCGCUUGGAGAAGAUGCUGAUGACGUCGGUCAGGUCAUGGGGGAACCGCCGACUGACAGUGCACAACCGGACGAGACCAUCGACAUUAUCUAAUUCGGAAUAUGUCUGGACCCGGGCUGUGGGUUAAAAACAAUUUAUCUUUUUAUGCUUUAGUACUUGAAUGUACGCUUGAACAGUUGUUUGUAUACUCUCGACCAUAUGUAUGUAUGCGUUCGCGUUUGAUUUUAUAUGCAUGCUUGUUUAUACCUGCUUCCAAGCGAAUAAUUUUCUCGACAUCUGGUUAUCCACUGACCGAACGAAUGGUUUAUUAACAUCAUUUGAUUCUGACCGUCGUAAGACUAUUAGUACGAUUCUAACCGAUCGAUCGGUUAAUUAAUAACAAGAUUAUUAAUUUUUGAUCAGCGAUAGGUGAAUAACCUUUAGGUUGUAGAUAUGAUUCUGACCGAACGAACGGUUAAUUAAUAACGUAAGAUUAUUAAUUUCUAACCAACGAUAAGUGAACAAUCGUUUAGGUUGUAAAUAUGAUUCUGACCGAACGAACGGUUAAUUAAUAACGUAAGAUUAUUAAUUUCUAACCAACGAUAAGUGAACAAUCGUUUAGGUUGUAAAUAUGAUUCUGACCGAAUGAACAGUUAAUUAAUAACUUAGGAUUAUUAAUUUCUGACCAACGAUAGGUGAAUAACGUUUAGGUUGUAAAUAUGAUCUUGACCGAACGAACGGUUAAAAAGACGUCAAGUAGAGAGAUGUAUAGUUUUUAAAGUGCCUCGUUAAAACCUUCUCGGUCGAAAACCCUACUUUAGGGAUAAAACGACCGAGCGAGGAAAGAGUACACUGAUUUUCAUUUAUCAACUGUAAUAGAAUUUGAGAUGCGUGGCAUUCCACGUUCUCGGUACAGAUUUUCCUGAUAAAUGAUCUAAGCGAUAUGCUCCUCCGGCUGCUGUGUCGGCGAUGCGGAAUGGUCCUUCCCAGUUACUUGCAAAUUUCCCUCCGUCUUUCCGGGCAUCACUGCGCAUGCGCCAAACUAAAUCUCCUUUCUGAAAAUUUCGUGGCUUCACCUUUGAGUUAUAUCGUCGUGCCGCACGUAUCUUGCAUGCCUCUUCUCGUAUUCUGCACUUGUCUCUUAAUUUAUUAAUGAGGUCGAGGCCGACCAGUAGACUUUCCUUAUUCAAGUCCAGGUCUAAUGUCUGUCGGCGUAGGGAAGGCUCGCCUAUCUCGACCGGAAUCAUGGCUUCGAUGCCGUACGUCAGGCUAUAAGGUGUUUCCUGAGUUGUUGAUUGCGGUGUACAACGAUAGGCCCAGAGGACUUCCAAACGUUCUUCAGUCCAAUUUCCCUUAGCUGGGCCGAGUCUCUUUUUAUGUUCGUUAAGAAUGACUUUGUUGGCGGCCUCGGCUUGACCGUUGGUUUGCGGAUGCUCCACCGAGCUUGUGAUGUGUUUGACAUGGAGUUUCUCGUAAAACUCUGCUAACCCUCGGUCGGUGAACUGUCGGCGAUUGUCUGUUAUAAUAAUUUGAGGUAGGCCGAACCUGCAGAUGAUAUUCUUCCAUACAAAAUUUUGGACGUUACGAGCAGUGAUGGCUGUCAAGGGUUCGGCCUCGAUCCACUUAGUGAAGUAGUCAAUGCCGACUAACAGGAAUUUGCAUUGUCCCUUGCCAGGUGAAAAGGGUCCGAUGAUAUCCAUCCCCCAUUUCACGAACGGCCAGGAGAUAGAAUGUAAUGCAAGUUUUCUGGUUUUUCAUGCGAUAUAUUCCCGUAUUCCUGACAUUUCAAGCAUUUCCGAACGAAUUCUGUGCAGUCUCCUUGCACGGUCGGCCAGUAGUAUCCGGCCCUGAGCACUUUAGCAGCCAUGGUUCGUGCUCCUGGGUGAGUUCCACAUACUCCUUCAUGUAACUCGGUCAUCACAUAUGUAAUUUGGUCAGGAUUCAGACAUUUUAGUAGAGGACGAGAAUAACCUCUCCUGUAGAGGUCUNNNNNNNNNNNNNNNNNNNNNNNNNNNNNNNNNNNNNNNNNNNNNNNNNNNNNNNNNNNNNNNNNNNNNNNNNNNNNNNNNNNNNNNNNNNNNNNNNNNNAUUGUUUUCUCCAAGUGCGGGCCACAUAUUCCUUCUGUCAGGUAUUGUUUGAUGGGGGUCAUCCAGUUAGGUUGAGUGUUGGUCGUUAGGCAUUCCUCCACGCCGACACUUGGUUUAUUCAGGGUCACAUGUAUGACCGACCGGUGGACUCCCUUUUGCUUGACAGUGGCCAAUCGUGAGAGAGUGUCUGCUCGAGUGUUGUUUUCUCUCCGGACGUGUUGGAAUGAUACUUCCCCGAACCUAUUUAAGAGGUUUUUCACAAAAUGGUAAUACUGCUGAAGUAAAUUUUCCCUUACAUCAUACUCUUCUGUGAGCUGCCCGAUGACCAGCCGAGAGUCACUUUUGCAAAUCAAUUUGGUUAUUUCUAACUCCAUAGCCAGGUGUAGGCCGGCAAUGAUAGCUUCAUAUUCUGCCUGAUUGUUCGAAGUCUUGAAUUCAAACUUCAUUGCCUGUUCAACGACAAUCUCGCCUGGCCCUUCCAACACCACUCCUGCUCCACAUGAGCGGUUGUUUGAAGAACCGUCCACAUACAACACCCAUAUAGAUUCCUCUUCCUCGGUCGGUUGCGGAGUGAGUUCUGAUGCAAAGUCUGCGAGGGCUUGGGACUUGAUUGCGCCCCUCGGCUGGUAUUCGACAUGAAAUUCUGAUAGUUCGAUAGCCCAUCCUAUCAUACGUCCGGCCAGGUCAGGUUUAGUCAAAAUCUUCAUAAUAGGAUAGUUCGUUCUAACUAUGAUGCGAUGAUUCUGAAAAUACAUCCGCAUUCGUCGUGCGGUGAUGAUUAGGGCCAAUGCCACCUUCUCAACCAUUUGGUAUCUGACUUCUGCGCCGUGUAGCACACGGCUCACAAAAUACACCGGUCGUUCUUACUGCUUCGCUGGAGACAGCCAGGUAGACUAUGAUGGGCUCUCGUGUGUUUGGUUUUUGGAUGACCGGUGGAGAAGCUAAAAAUGUCUUUAGCUGGAGGAAGUUUUGCUCACAUUCGGCCGUCCAUUCAAAUUUGGUUGUCUUUUUUAAUAGUUUAAUGAUGGGUCUCGUUCGUUCGGCAAGUUUAGGUACGAAACGAGACAGAGAUGUAAGACGACCGAUGAGUCGUUGGAUCUCUUUGAGACUGUUGGGACUCCGCAUUUCUGCGAUGGCUUUACACUUUUCAGGAUUUGCCUCUAUGCCCCGGUGAGUGAGCAUGAACCCUAAGAAUUUUCCUCCUUCCACGCCGAACGCACAUUUUUCAGGAUUCAGACGCAUAUGGUAUUUUCGCAAAGCUUGAAAGACUUCUUUCAAAUCUGCAAUGUGUUGGUCACAGGAGUUCGACUUAACUACGAUAUCAUCGACGUAUACUUCGACAUUCUGUCCAAUCAUGUCAUGGAAGACAUGGUCCAUCAAGCGCUGGUAAGUGGCUCCAGCGUUUUUCAGGCCGAACGGCAUAACCUCAUAAUAAAAAUUGUUGGAGUCUGUGCGAAAGGUUGUUUUCUCCUUGUCUUUCGGGUGCAUCUGGAUUUGAUUAUAUCCGGAAUAUGAGUCUAAAAAGCUGAGCAUCUGAUGGCCGGCCGCUCCGUCUACCAGCCGAUCGAUAGUCGGUAAGGGGUACGAAUCCUUUGGACAAGCUUUGUUAAGGUCUGUGUAGUCGACACACAUUCGCCACUUUCCAUUUGCCUUUCUAACCAUUACCACAUUGGCUAACCACGUGGUGUAAUGGGCCUUUUGAAUAAAGCCAGCUUGUACAAGCUUUUCGGUUUCGUCUCAGGCGGCUUUACGUCGUUCCUCCCCCAACUUCCUUUUCUUCUGGGAGACUGGCCUAGCUUCUUUGUAUACGGAUAGACGAUGAGUAAUAACAUCGGGUUUCACCCCGGGCAUAUCUGCAGCAGUCCAGGCGAAUAGGUCAACGUUCUUCAUCAAUGUUCUAUUGAUCACAUCUCGAUCGUUCGGCUUGAGGGAAGUGCCCAUGUAAGUUUUGCGGUCCUUAUCGCAUAGGAAUAUAGGUUGUAAUUCCUCGUCUACCUCCAUACGAGGGUCGUCCAAUCGGGGAUCUAGGUCCACAAGGGCCACCAAGUGCCUUCGGGAGCUCAUUCUUCUGGGGCGCCUCUCUGGCGAUCGACCUCUUCUGUCUGGCGAGCGAUCGGUCGUUGUCUUAUAUAACCUUCGGGUUGGCUCGACUUUCAGACUGGCUACGUAGCAUUCUCGUGCUGUUUUUUGGUCUACGUGUAUCGUUGCAAUAUCUCCGUUUACGGAAGGAAACUUCAUAGCCAAAUGAGGAGUGGAAACGAUGGCCUUUAACCUAUUUAUGGAGGGACGACCGAGGAGUAUAUUGUAGGACGUAUUAGCAUUGACCAGCAAGUAUCGGAUAUUGAUGGUUUUGCUGAGAUAAUCAUCACCAAAAGUGGUGAAUAAGUCAAUAUACCCUCUAGUAUCCACACGCUCCCCUGAAAACCCGACUAUUUGUUCGUCGUAAGGUUGUACCUCUGAUUCUGAAAUGUUCAUUUUUUUAAAAGUUUUCCAAUACAAGAUGCCGACCGAGCUUCCUUGGUCGACAAGGACCUUAGCAAUUGCGAACUUAUCGAUUUCCACCGUAAUGACCAUGGGGUCAUCUUGAGCGGGAUCAAUUGCGGUGAAAUCAGCGUCCGUGAAGGUGAUAGGUGGGAUAUGCGGUCGGCGGUGUAGGGAUGCCGAAUGAACUGAUUGAAUUGCCCUUAAAUGUCUCUUCCUGGCUGAAUUAGAACAUCCUCCUCCCGCGAAUCCGCCCGCAAUGUAAUUGAUCUCCUGAGGAGGAGCGCCGAGCGACAUAGGCCCAGCAAUUGUGUUAAUGACUUCUCGAAUUUUCUGUUUAGUUCGGCUUCUGCGAUCUGGGCUUUCACUUCGAGGCCUUGUCCGUCUGACCGGACUUUCACUUCUUCUUCUGCGGCUCGUGCGGUUUCGAUCAUUUCGGUCGUCUCGUCGCCCAUAUCGUGCUCUGUCCUUAGUGAAGUUCUCAUCACGUUGGGGUGAUCGCGGUGUAGGUGCCACUGUUUUCACAAAUUUGCGGAGGUGGCCGGCUUGGACGAGUUCUUCUAUCUUAUCUUUCAACGCUUGACAGCCUUCGGUCGAAUGGCCGUAAUUACGGUGGUACUGACAACGUUUAGCUGUAUCAGCGUUGGGAGGUGUCUGUGCUUGCUUUAACGUUGGGAUUAAGUCAGUUUGUAAGGCUUCGUCCAGUAUCUUCCCUCUAGGUACAGUCAGCGGGGUGUAGUUAUGAAAACGGGGGCCUCUGUUCUGGAAACGAGGCCCUCGUUCGUUCGUCUUCGGAUGGAUGCGGACGUCUCUACUUUUUUCCAUAUUUUCUGCCAGUGUCUUCCUGUGAUAGUCUAUAUGCUCUUCUAUUUGCAUGAAUUUGGUGGCUCUGGUUCUUAAUUCAUCCAUAUUGUGCGGCGGUCGUUUUAUCAAGCUAUCGGUGAAUCGGCUUGGAAGUAUGGCCGAGAUCAGGUGAUGCAUUGCAAUCUCAGGGUUUAAGUUCCUGAUCCCCAUACACACCCUGCUGAAUCUAUCCAUGAAGGUUCUUAAUGACUCUCCCCUUUCCUGCCUGACGUGGAGGAGAGACAUGGAUGACGUGCGAUGGGGCCUGCUGGUGGCAUAUUGAGUUAUAAAUUUUGUCUCCAAUAUUUCAAAGCUGUCCACGGAGUUUGGUGGGAGUCCGGUAAACCAUCCGAGAGGUCCUUCUUUAAGUGAAGUGGGGAAUACCUUACACCAUACCGUCUGGUCCACAGUGUACAAUGUCAUUUGCGUCCUGAAAAUGUUCAAAUGUUCGUCUAGAUCAGUGGAGCCAUCGUAUAGGUUCAUUGUUAAACCCCUCCAUUUUUCGGGAAGAGGUGUUGCGAUGAUAUCGUCCGAAAAGGGAUGACCUCUUGGAUUUGCCGACCUGUGGGGUGUGACACUUUUGACACUUUGAUGAGUGUGCUGUGUGGGUGAAGUGUGAUGGACCACUUGGGUCCGAGUUUGUGGGGUAGUUAUCUUUGUUCCAGAUGGAUGAGGGGGCAGAGUUGGAGCGUGGGAAUGUCCUUCCCUCUCGGAGUCUUCAAGUUGUUGGAGCAACCUCUUGUUCUGUUCUUUCAGUUGAACCAUCUCUUCUGCUUGUUGGCGUCGUUCUUCCUCAUAGCGUAUCUGGUCUGCAGUCCCUUUCUUCAGUAGUUCCUGCAUUUGAGCUUGAAGAAUUUGUAACACCGCCAUUUGACUCUCCGUAGAGUUGUUGUUAUCUGUUGUAGACACCAUUGUUGCCGAAAUCCUUGUGGGGGACCAGAGAUUAUUCGGGCCCCACGGUGGGCGCCAAUUGUACCUGUGUGGAUGUCAGGGCCAGAGUGAUAUUGUUCCACGUCAGUACCUAAUUGUUGUUAUCCAGCAGCUGCUUAAUCCUCCUAGUCCUUUCUCCUCUGCGCGUAUGCUCGUCCGGUCGGCGGGGGUACCUGCGAUUGCACUCCGACGCUCAAGUCAGUUCUCCUCCUUUCUCAGUGUUUCCAGAAGAUUAAAAACGUACCUUUUCCCCCUUUCAACAGUUUUCCUUAUAGGUUGACCUGUGCUUUGGUACGUGUGGGCCAAAUAGGUAGUUGUUGAAAUCGUGUUUAGUGGUGUUUGGGUCAUGAGUAGGUAGUUUGGGUAUUAAGGGAGUGUACCUGAAAAUGUCCUUGACCCAUUCAACUACAGUUAUAACUGCUGUUCUGCCACGUAUUUAUUUUGUUCGUUUUAUUUAACAUCCAUGUUCGGUCGUACGGAGCCGAGCGGUACAGAAGCAGUGUGCAAUUUUGCAGAAAUCCAAAACUAGACAUUUGCUUGCAUCAAAGUACAAACUUCAGAUGCGUUAGUCGCGCUCCUAUUGAAAAUAAUAGAAUUGAUGUGAUUCCAUAUUUUCCCCACGACCCCACCCAAAUUAUAUUCCACACUUCAUUAAUCAAAUCAGAAAACGUAUUCAUCCUAAAUUGAGCAAAGUUUGACUUAGGAUCUAGAGAAUGAUUUUCCAAAAUAUCAUAAUCUAUUAGACUAUAGAGUACAUUUAUGUUAUAACCAUCACUAUUUAUCGACAAAAAUUUAUUGAUAAAGUUGUGUUCAUCCCGGAUUUUACCAAUAUAUGGUUUCAUCGACAGAUUUUACGAUGGAUUUUUGUCCAUUGAUAACUACAGAUGGAUUUUAAUGAAAGAUUUUUUGUCUGUCGAUCAUUACCAACCGCUUAUACUGACCAAUAUGAAAAUUAAAAAAGAAAUUAAAGGUAAAUCAAUAUUAGUCUGUAAAAUUUGUCGAUAGUUUAGCGUUAGUAUAUUUUGUUGAUAAAUUUUGUUAGUAAAUUUAUUAACAAUUAUAAUAAUGUUAAUAAUAAUUAUAAUAAUGUUAAUAUUAAUUAAUAAUGGCUACAACAAUAUUAAUAAUUACAAUAAAAAUAAUGAUAAUAAUAUUAAUGUCAAUAAUAAUAUUAUUACCAAUAAAAUAAUAAUAAUACUAGUAAUAUUAAUAAUAAUGUUAAUAUAAUAAUAAUAACAUUAAUAAUUAAAAUAAUAAUAAUAUUAAUAUUGAUAAAAUUAAUAAUACCUAUAAUUAUAAUAAUAAUAAUAAUAAAAUUAAUAAUAAUAAUAAUGUUAAUAUUAACAAUAUCAAUACAUAUAGUAAUAUUAUUAAUAAUACUAAUAAUAAUAAUAUUAAUAGUACUUUUGUCAUUAUCAACGAAUUUUUUUGCAUUAUUGUGGGUAAAUCCAGUGUUUUUAGUGAACACAAAAUAAAAGAAGCGUAGAAAAAGAUAUAUGCGAUGGUUCUCACCUGAAUUGUUGCUUAUACCUUUGAGUCUUUCUUAAUUUGUGUUAUAUAGAAUUGUAGCCUAUUUUAGUGCAUGGACUACUAUAUAGUCUAAAAUGAAUUUUUUUUAGUUCAGUUUAUUUAUUCUGUUUACUAAAAUUUCGUUAACUUGUACAUUUUAAAAUCCCAUCCAGAUUCUCAUAAUAAUUAUAUAUAUAUAUAAAUAAUUUAAAAUAGUACAUCUACCUAUAAACUAAUAUAUAUUGUUAAAAUUCGUAUACAUUUAAAAUAUGUAAAAUAAAAUAACACUAUAUUCUUCAUCAUAUAUCCUAGAGUUUUAUAUAACAUAAUGAAAUAUGUGUCCAAGCGUUCUUCACAAACUUUAUUGAUUCUGAAUUUAGUGGUUGAACAUCCAUAACAUAUUGCAACACAUAAUAAGUUUAAAUUAGUAUUUAAAGUACAAAAUUUAUUAUAAACAAUAAUUUAAAUAUGACUCUCAACCUCUAUUAAUGUCAACUUUUACAUAAUACCCAUACUCAUACCCUUCCGGUUGUUUAUUAUACUACAAUCCAAUAUUAAUGAAGAGUUAAUAUUGAUAUUUAUUUGACAAACAAGGAAGACAAAAAAUAAUUAAUGAAAAUACCAACCUUAGGUUCAACCAUAUCAGCUUUUGAGACUUUGCACUUGGUCAACUUCUGAGUAUUCUAUAUCCAGUCUAUUGACUAAUUAAUUAAAAUAAAAAGGCUUGGUAGAAGACAUUUAAGUAAUAUACAUAAGUAAAUUGAUAAUGUAAUUAUCAGUCCACUAUUUACUUGAGAUAUUAUCAUUUAUGGAUAUCACAAGUAAUUGUCAUUGAUGCCUACAUCAUCCAUGAAAACAAUUAGUAAAACAUAAAAAGGAUGAAAUACUAAUAAUUGACAACUUAAAAACUGUAUUUACUCAUUAAUAUAAGGGACAAAAUAUAUAUGUUUCCCCCUUUAUAUUCCCCCUGCAUUUCCCAUUGAAUUAAUUAAUUAGGGAUUCAUGUUUUUCCUUUAUACAUCAUGUUUCCCUUGUUAAUGCAAACUCCAGACAAGUACCUAGUAUAAUUAGUUAAAACAUAAUCAAUGAUUUAAUUAUAUAAACUAAAAUGAUUUAUGGAUGGAAGAGACUUACAUCAUCCAAAAUUGAAUGACAAAUAUAUUCAACUCAUGGUUGCAAGGUGCAACCUCUAAUACACUUGACAUGUGUAUGCAUAAAGGUAUGUAACUAUUUCUUUAAAAAAUAGUGUCAUCUCUAAUAAUGUGGAUAUAGGAUCGUCGAUGUAAAUCGGUUACUUAUUUCUUUGUGGACUUGGUUUCUGAUGGUAUUGCUACAAAAUAAAAAACAUUUUGAUUAAAUUAAAUAUAAUAACCUGCAAACCUUCUUAUUAAGAAUUGCAAAUAGUAUUCUAAUAACAUUAACCAUACCAGCCUUAGAAAUAUCUCCAUCCAUUUGAAAUUCUAACUUAUUUAUCAACGUCUUUAAGCAUAUUUAUAGGCCAUUUAUAUAUCUAAAAGUUAUAAGUCAUAAAACUAUAAAUAACCAGAUUAGCAAGUUGAACCCUCCCCAAUCAUACUUAGUAUUUUUCUUUUCCAAGAAGUCAAUUUAAAUGCUAAAGGCUAGAGAUAUCUAGACUUAGAAACACCUACAAAAAUUGGAACAUUAAGGUAUUUGAAAGGAACAUACCCUCUAUUACAUCCAAUAACACUUUUAAUUAUCCAAUAACACUUUUAAUUCUCCUAUUAAAUGCAGAAUUAUCAACAAGAAAGAAGAAAUGUUUAGAAGCAUUCAUCCAUUGACCAAAAAUAGAACUAUUAGCAUGGGAAAAAGCCACAAGAUUGGAUAAAUUUUUUUGUUAAUCCUAAAAAAAAGUAUCAUCUACAAACAAGACAAAGACAACCCUUUAGGGCCAACCAUGGGAGAAUCUUUUGAUUCAAGACCGAAAGAGAGACUCCUAUUAAGAACCUCUUUAGCCAAACUAAAAAGGAGAAGAGAUAAUGAAUCUCCUUAUCUAACACCUUUGCUACAGAAAAAGUACUCAUAAAAGAUAAAAAAAUAGCAUAUUUAAGAAUAGAAGGUUUGUCAUACUUGUCUUAAUUACUAUGAUAAAAUCAGGUUUAAGUUUACUCAUAUUUUUCAUGAAGAGAAUGUGUGUACUGAUAAGUUGGCUAAUUUAAGAUUUAUUCAUAGAGAAUUCCUUCUAGUCUGUUUUUAGAAUUCUUUAUGAAUAAGUAUAGUCUACCUAUGUAUCGUUUUUGUUAACAUAUGAGUUUUGAUCUAGUCCUUCCAUAUUUUUUUUGUAUUUUCUUUUAUUUUUAAUAAUAUUUUUUUUGUGUAAUGACAAAUAAUUAUUAUUACUUAAAGUGUCAUGAGAUGUCAAAUUACACUCUAAUGAAUCAAAUUAGUAAAAAAAAAAUGGAGUUAAAACAUAUCUAGAAAAGAAAGCUUCAUUUAAUAGUAAUAGAUUUUUUUUUUAAUAUCAAUUUUGAUAGCAAUAUUGCAUCCCUUAAUUUUUUUUUGACAAGAAGUUAAUGCCUUCUAAAGUAAUGCAGACACAAUCAUUAAUAUUUCUUCCCUUAACAAAGCCUUUCUGAUUAAGGGGUGAUCAUAGCAGAUAGACCUAAAAUCUUGAUGGUACCAACUCCAAUAUCCUUCAAAACCAGAGAGACAAUAUUCAGAUGAUUUAUUUAAUAUCAAAUUCUGAACAGAAAAAAACAUUCAGUAGUGUUAGUAGGUUUGUUGAUUAAUAUUUUCUGUAAGUGGCUCAGCUGUGAAACACCUAAAUAUGUCUGUAAAUAUUGUUAUAUAUUCUUUUUGCUAAAAAAUAAAAAACUUAUCUGAUCAGUACGGCUAAUUAAUUAAUUAAUUAAUUAAAGUUUGGGGCCAUUUCGAUACCCUACAAAAAAAAAAAGAAAAUACCUAAUCACUUCUCGUGCAAAAUUCGCAAGCUGUCUAAAUACUAUUUUAUUUACUAUAAAAUAAAUGAAGACCUUCUGCAACACGUGAAAAUAUUAUAACAAAAGGUGUCUAAUUAAAAAACUGAUUAAAUCACUUUUAAAAUCGAUACCCUGCAAACCGAUUCAAGAAAACAUCUAAAAAUUAGUUGAAUAAAAAAUAUUUAAAAAAUCGGCAUUUUAGAUAAAUUGAUUAAAAAGUUGCUUUUUAAAUUAGUUUGAUUGAGUUCCUAAGUUUUUGACGGGUGAAAUUGAAGCUAACAUCUUAGAAAGGUAGAUCUCUUGUAACAUGAUGGAUAGAAUUCAGUUAGUUAAUACGGUGAUUUCUGGAUUUUUAGCUUAUAGCUUUAAUACGUAUAAAUGACAUGUUCACUUCUUAAGCAAGUUGAGUAGUGGUGUCGAAAAUUUAUUUGGACUGGUGAUAUUCUUAAAAAAGGCAUAGCUACCAAUAUUGGACUCUUAUCUGUUCUCCUCUUGAAAAUGAAGGUUUGAAGAUUAUUAAUCUUCAUCAUGAAAAUAGUGUGUAUCUUCUUAAGCUUGCUUGAAACUUUUCUUAUAGCAACAAGCCUUGGACUUUUCUUCUGAAAGUUAGAGUUCUUAAAUCAAAAUACGAGUUUAGAAUGGUUUAUAGAUCCUCGUCUCUUUGGCUUGGAAUUAAAUAGUUUUAUUCUACUUGAUUAUACUUCUUGAACUGUUGGUACAAGUACUUCUAUUAAUUUCUGGAAUGAUAAAUGGUGUUCUACUACUUCUUUAGCAAAUAUUGUAGGGUUAUCUAAUGGUGCUAGAAUUUUGGAUACAGUCUCUCGGUUUUGGACUGGUUGUGAUUGGAAUAUUCAUUUGUCUUUACGGCAAAUGUCUCAUUUUUUUUAAUCAUAUCAUGGUUAGGGAGGAACACGAUAUUCCUAAUUUGAAUCUAGAUGAGUCUGGUCAUUUCACUCUUAAAUCGGCUAGGACUUUUUUCUUGCAACCAGGAGUUCCCUGUGGUUGGGGUAAAUUCAUUUAGUCUUCAUAUAUUCUCCCUUUUAAAACAAUAGUACUCUAGAAAGUUUUUCAUGGACGGCUUCCUAUAGAUCAACAUAUCCAGAAUAAAGGUUUUCAUAUAUGUUUUAUGUGUACAAUUUGUGAAAAGCACGAGAAAUCUAUUUAGCAUUUAUUUUUUGAAUGUUCUAAUGCUUUGCAUAUUUGGAGUUGGGUUCGACAGAUUUUUCUUACUUCACAUUUCUCUAAUAAAGAUGAUCUUCUUUCUUUUAUUAAGAGUGAGGGUAGUCCUUUGGUUAAAUUGAUUAAGCUUGUUGUGAUAACUUUUUCUAUUUAGAUGAUAUGGCGUAUGAGGAAUUAUGCUAGAUUUCAAGAUAAGAUUGAUGUUUAAGCUAUUUCGAUAGUUAAAGAUUUAACUUUUCUAGUAGGAAAUUUUCUGAAGCUUCAAUGAAGAAUAAUAUAUUGGAUUUCAACGUGAUUAAGUUUUUUAGUAUUAAUAUUCGUACUGGUAAAGUUCUUCGUCCUCUUCCUAUUAGAUGGGAGUUCCCUUUAUCAGACUGAGUUUAAAUUAACACUGAUGGGGUUGCUAGGGGAUAUCCUAUUAUGGUUGUUGAGUUUUAUAGAGUUAUAUAUGCUAUGAAGGAAGCUCAAAAGAUGGGGCUUACUAAUGAAUGACUGGAAUGUGAUACUGCCUUGGUUUGUGUUGCGUUUAAUGCUAGAACUAAUAUUCCGUGGAUGUUUCGUAAUCGAUUGAAUACUUGUCCUAAUUACUGUGAGAAAAAUCAGGUUUAUGGUUACUCAUAUUUUUCGUGAAGGGAAUGCGUGUGCAGAUAAGUUGGUUAAUUUAGGAUUUACUCAUAGAGAAUCAUUUCAUUGGUAUAAUAGGCUUUCAUCUAGUUUGUUCUUAGAAUUCUUUAUGAAUAGGUAUAGUCUACCUAUGUGUCACUUUUGUUAACAUAUGGAUUUUUGUCUCGUCCCCCAUAUUUUAUUUUAUUUUUUAUUUUUUUUAAUAUGAUAACAUAUGAUUAUUACUUAAGGUAUCAACUUAAUGAGAUGUAAAAUUGCAUAGGAUAUCUAACAUAAAAACUUUUAUAAAAUAAAAAUUCAAUUUAAUUAAAAAUGGGCUUAUAAAAUAAGUACUUUAAACGAGUGGUGCUACAUUUCUUAUCCACAAAAUCUUUAUAAUACAAUUAUAUAUGUUUCCAUAAGUAGGGUGCAUGUUUCAAUCAUUAACUAUAGUGGGUGCAACCAUCCCAAUAAAUGUAGAAUUACUGUACAAAAAUGUUUGAUUCCAUUUUGAGCUAAACAAUCUUCAAUAAUCUUUAUUAUAGUAGUUACUUAAAAUGGGGCGAAAUAUAAACGACCUUCAUGUAUGGAAUCUACUAUAAACUUUAAAAAAAAUUAUCCUAUUAUAUAUCAAUACUUAUUUUACUGGCAAGUGUUUAAAAUCUUGGAUUUUAGUCUUUGAUAUUGUUCAUUUUAUCUUAAUACUUGUAUUUAUUUGCUAACACCUGUUCAAUAUCUUCGUCUUUUGUCAUUUGUGUUUCUUUCCUUUUGUUUUGAAGCAAGUGUUCGAAAAAAAAUUGUAUGUUGUUGUCCAAUAACACUAAAAAAUAUUAUUAAUUAAAAUUAAUUUUAAAAAUAAAAAAUAAUUGAUUAGUAUAUUACCUAAAUUAUUACUAUUUUAUAAAUUAAAAAUUUAUUAAUAUUUAAAAUAAUUUAUAUUAUUAAUUAAAAAUUAUAAAUUAGUUCUAACAUUAGUUAUCAAAAUGUUAAAUACUACUUUAAAUAUCAAAUUAGUCGGUGUAAAGAUUAAUUUAAAACUGGAAUGUUUAAUGGCUAAAAUCUUAGUAAUGUUAGAUAUUAAUUUAAAAACUAAUUUACAAAUUUUUAUUAAUAAUAAAAAUUAAUUUAGAUACUAAUAAUUUUUUAAUUUAUAAAAUAAUAUUUAAUUUAAUUAAUAUAGUAAUUAAUUAUUUUUUAUUUUUAAAAUUAAUUUAAUUUAAUGAUUUUUUACUGUAUUUCCUGAAAGUGGCGAAGCAAAAAUUUGAAAAUAACUUCUUUAGGUACAAAAAGGGUUGGUCUAUGUUCUAAUACUAAAUCCACAUUGCAUUUAGGUAGUUGGGCAAAAUUAGGAACAAGUUAGCAAAUGAACGAAGAUUAUCUGACCCAGAUAAAUCACAAGAACCAUUUCUUGAAUCUAAACUUGUGUGCAUAGUCAAUGUUUAUGCAGCGUGACACCUGAAUGACAAUGUUGUUAUGUCGAAGGAUUUAUCUAGUAUUAGAAGUGCGAAUCAGAAUUUGAUUUGGUGCUUUUGCAACAAUUUUAAUGUAGUUAGAAGAGCUAGUGAAAGGAAAGGUGCAACUGAAAGGGGAAGUCGGAAGAAUGAGAUUAGAAGCUUCAAUUCCUUCAUUGAUAAGAACUUUCUGGUGGAGCUCCCGAUUCUGGGAAAGAAGUUUACGUGAUUUAAAGCAAAUGGUUAAGAUAAAAGCAGACUUGAUAGAGUGUUCGUAUCUGAUGGAUGGUUACAAAUCUGACCAAACUAUAAACAAUAUGUACAACUCAGAGAGGUCUCAGAUCAUUGUGCUCUAGUGGUGAAAUUUGUGCAUAAAAAUUGGGGGUCAAGACCUUUCAGGUCUAUUCAUGCUUGGCAGAUGGAGUGUGGUUUCAAGGAGAUGGUAUGAGGGAAAUGAGAAUCUUAUGAUGUUCGAGGUAAUAGUAUAUUCAGGUUCAGAGACAAGCUGAAGUUCCUAAAAUCUGAUCUUCAAGUUUGGAACCGUGAUGUGUUUGGGUACAAAUAAGAAGCGUAUUUUAAAGGAGAUUGAAGAUUUAGAUAAUCAAGACGAUGCGCACAAUCCAGUUAAGAGUUUCUAACAAAAAGCUUGAAUCCCUAUCCAGACAAAAAAGCUAGGUCUAAAUGGUUUAAAGAAGGGAUUCCAACUCAAAGUAUUUUCAUUCAACCAUAAGAUGAAGAAGCCUAAGGAAUGCAAUGAAGGAUGUGGAAGUUGGAACCAAUGGUCUAAGGAGCGAAAGGUCGUUUCAUAGCCAUUCAAGAAUUUUGUUUUCUUCAUCUAUUCUAUAGCUAUAUUUGGGAUCAUUUUGUGGUGUAGCCUUUUAUUUUAACUUUAAUUGUUGCUUAUCAUUCUUAGCUUUCAUGUGCUGUUUGUCUCAUUAAUUUUCCUUGAGUUUAACAAUUUUAAAUUUAACUUUUGUUACUUUUAUUUUCUUUUGCAAAGUUUUGGUGUUAGAAGUCCCUUGGUGCAUGAGACGCCUGAACAUUGGUUCUGAGAAGCUUUAUUAAAGAAGAGAAAAAGACCAAAAAGAGUACCACAGACCAAAUGUCAUUCAUUUGAUCGAAUUUUAUACCAACAAAACGAUUAACACUAGAGAACAUGGUAAAAAGAAUUAUAAAUAAUUUAAUAAGAAUACAAAUUAUUUAUUAAAUUUCUUAAUUUAUAUAUUAUCAUUCUAAAUAAAAAUAAAAAAUAAAAAAACAGAAAGAAGAAAAGCUUAUUCAACCAUGGCCAGUUCCAUGACUUUCUAUUACAUUCAUACAGGUACAUUAAAUUACUGAAAUCCCAAUAAUGGGUUUCCAUGCACUGGUAAACACUUUUACAAAAUCACAUAAUUCAAUCAAUGAAAAAGGAAAGAACAGACAAGAUACUGCAAAAAUCAUAAAUAUUCAUUAAUAUAUGCUAAAUACUUUUACAAAAUCACUUAAUUCAAUCAAUAUAAAAGGACAUCACCCAAAAGAUACUAUACAAAUCAUAAAUAUUCAUAAAUAUGCAUCACAUGGAACAUUUUAACAUUCAAUAAUUCAACAAACUUAAAGAAAGUACAUUAGCAACCUACAUUUUUCAUAGAAUCAAGUUACAACAUUUGAUACAAUAAUUUUAAUAAUUUUUCAUAUUAUUUAAUUUCAAACUUAUUUUUUAAACUCAUCACAUCAAAAGUUGUAUACAACUUCAUGUGAAAGUAUCCAUUUUCAUCCAAGUUUAUUCCACCCAAAGAAGGAUUUAGAUAACCAUCUUUCUCCUCAAACUUCACACACAUAUAUUAUUAUUAUUAUUCAGAUAAUCACUUAACCUUAAGCUAAGCUCGUUAUUUCUUCUUCUUCUUUUUAAUUUUAUGGCUUAAGAAGAUGAGCAUCGAUAUCUGCAGUGCAUUUGUGGAGGUACUCGAUGUAACCAUAUGGAGGAUCAACUUCUUCCCUAACCCUCUCAUAUUCAACAGUCCAUGUGAUGAUAGCAUCACCAUUGUUCUUAUCAGUUGCUUCAAAUCUGAUAUUGAGGAGCUUGAAUUGGUUAUCGAUCUCUUCACCAAAGAGCUUGAAGAUGAUUGUUUUGUUUGCUUCAUCGUAUUCCAUACUCUCCUGACAUGUCACAACCUUACCAUCUGUUUUUUUAAGCAAUCAAAACAAACAUAAACAUUCUUGGAAAAUUAGACAAUGAUAGAACUAAAUUUCAUGGCUAGAAAUUUUGUAUAUAGAAACUAAUUUGAAGAAAAACAAUAUCAAUUACUAAUUUAGAAAUUAUUUUACAAUUUAAAAAAUAAUUAGUUUUCAAAUUAUGCUUUUUUUCAGUGAAGUAAAUUUUUGAACUAGUAAUUAAAUUUUUAUUUAAAAUUAUUAAACAAAGUUUUAGUUAUUUUGAAUUAAUCUUUUUAUUUAGUUUUUUAAUUGUUUAAGUUAUUAAUUCUUUAAUUUCUAAAAAAUAUUUUUUCAGCUAUAAUUUUGUUUUGAACUUGAUAUCUAUUCUUCAAGAUUUGAUUUUGUGUUUCAAUAUGUAUUUAUUUUAGAAUUCAAGUAUGAGUUGAAAGUUUAGUAUUGAGUAAGUAAAAACAAGAAAGUUAUUUGACGUAUAAAGAAACAAGAUUUAUAAAUAUUGAAUUUUAAGAAUGCAGGGUGAAGGUGUUUUCAUUUAUAUAAAUUGAUGCUAGGUUAUUGCUUUUUUUUAUCAACAAAAUGAAAUAAAUAGAAGUUCAAAGAAGUGCCUUAACUAGUAUAUAAAAAACACGAUUGGAUUAAUCUUUCCAGUCUUUUUAAGCAUGUCGUGGUAAAAACAUAAGAAUAGUUAAGGGAAAAUGUGUUGAGAUCUUAAACACAACAAAAAGAUCCACAAGUAUUGAGUCUUAGAAUUUUGAAAAAAAAAAUCCACAAGUAUCAGAGUCUUAGAAUUUUGGAUGGAAAGUGAUGUGAUAGUAGUAUGAUAAAGUUAAGUGACAUAUAAUAAUAUUUGUUUAGAUAACCAGCUCAAAUAUAAUGUUUUAUUUUUAUUUUUUAUUAGUAAAGAAUUAAAUGGAUUAAUUGUUGUUCUUACUCUCAUUUUCUGCAGUUUAGGUUGUGUAAUGCUCCUGAGUCGAUCAAUUUAGGAACGAGGAGUAUUUGGAUUGCGGUGGUUAGUAAGAUUUAAAGUCAUAGGAACAAGAUUUUAUUCAAAGGUGGACGGAACUACUCUGACAUCUUUUAUUUGACUCAAUUGAAGAUUUGGUCUUGGAUUUCUUCUUAAUUUUCCUCUACUUGUUUGUCUUAUUCUAAUUGACAUCUUGUUCUUCUGGAUUGUCUUGUUUCGCUUUAGCUUAUUUUGCGGUUGUGAUUUUUUAUAGGUUAGUUUUGAGUCAUUGGUUGGAAGGUGUGUGUUCUAAGAAUGUCUUAGAUUUUUAUAUAUGGGUUGAAUCACCUUAAAAUGAUUCUUAUGUAUAUAUUAUUUAUUGUUGAUAAAAAAAAUUAAAAAUAAGAUACUAUCAAAGUGUCACAACGGAAAACUAUAUUAAAACUUAGGGUUUAGAGUUUAGGGUUUAGGUGAGAACGGAAAACUAUAUUGAAACUUAGGGUAACAAAAUUGAUGAAUUACCUAUGAUAUAAGUCCAGUGUUUGAUGGACUCAUUGUGGUGCCAGUCAUCACCAUGGUGCAGUUUGGUUCCGUGGACUCUAUCAGUAAGGUUUUGAACAUCAUGGAGUUGCGUUGCGAAGAUGUUGAACAACUUUGCAGCAGUUGCAUGAACCCCAAUUUCAGAGAUGAUUCUACCAGCAAGUGACAUGAUGAUGAUAAAGAACGAAGCAAAAACUAUAUGAAACAGACAGAGAAGGGUGAGAGAUGGUGAAGAACAUUGCCAUAUACCUACUUAUAGACCAACAACACUUAGCUAUACCUAACAAUAAACGAAAAUUAAAUUUUGUUGUCCUUUUUUAUACCCUACAAUAAAGAAAAUAUACAUAAUCAGAUUUUGUGUCAAAAUACAGAUCUAUCUAAUAUACCAUGUAUCUUUUAUUAUUUUAUUUACUAUAAAAACACAAUCAACACCUUCUAAACCACACCUCACAAUAUAAUGUUUUUCCCUUAAAACCCUUUUACAUGAAUAAAAUGAUAGAUCAUUCUAACAUUUUUUAAUGAUCUAACUUUUUUUUUCUCCAGCUAAAAAGUCUGUUAUUGAAUUAAAAUUACGUAUGUUUUUUUAUUUCCAUUCCGAUGGAAAUAGUAUCUAGAAUCUUUGAUAUGUUUGUUUAUGAUUAAAAAAAUUUAAUUUUACGAGUUUGAAUAGAACAUUUAUAUGUAUUAUUAUAUUUUUUUUAAGUUUAGUUAAUUAAAAUAAUUAAUUAUUUUUAAUUUGAUUUGUAAUAAAAUUAAAUUAUUUCGUUCAUAAACUAAUUUUUAGAGAUAAAAAAUAAUUAGUUGCUAUAAUAACUAAAUUAGAGACUAUUUUAGAGACUAAAAAAAUUUUGGUUUUUAAAUUAAUUUCUAUUAUUAAUAAAUGAUUUUGAAAUUGGCAUCUAAUUAACAACCAAAGUUUUUGCUACCAAAUUUAGAAAUUAAAUAAUUGGUAGUUAAACCUGGAUAGCUAUAUAAAAACCAAUUUAAAAAUCAUUUAACAAUAAUAAAAAUUAAUUUAAAAUUAAUGUUUUUUAAUUUUUAAAAUAAUUUUUAAUUUAGUUAUUAUAAUAAUUAAUUAAUUUUUUAUCUAAAAUUGACUUUUAUUUUAAUUUUUUCUUGUAGUGAUAUUUAUUUAUUUAUUUUGUUUAUGAAAGAAAAAAUUAAACAUUUAUUCACGGUCUUGUCAUUCACAAAUUAUUAGGUGAGGUUGGUCCACUAAAGGAAAACGUGAAUUAACUGUCUUAAAUAUGCCUGCCAAUAAUGUUAAUAGUGUUUUCUCAGCAUUCAUAAGUGCUCCUGAAAAUAAAAGGGGAAAAUACACUACAAGAAAAACUUGAUUUAGCUUUCAAAUUUUUGUGUGGACCAUUUGCGGACGCUACUCUCAUCGGCCAAGAUGAGUAAAAGCUCACGCAAGAUUUACAUUGGACGCAAAACAGACGCAUAUAUUGAUUUAAUUUUUUUUUAUUUUUUUUAAAUUUGCGUCGACCGCGCUCCACGCAUAGGCGUCGGUUUUGCGUGGAAUCCACGCAUAUGCGUCCGCUAUAGCCCACUCAUGUUUAGAGUUUUAAAAUUUAAAUAUUUUUAAUGUAUAAUAAAUAUUUUAAUUUUGAAUUCUUUAUUAUAUUUAUUUUAGAAUUAUUUCUUUAAUGUUAUAAUAAAUUAUUUAAAUUUAUCAAUUUUGAAUAUAAAUUAAUUAAAUUAGAUUUAUUAAAUUAAAUAAGCGUUUGAUUUAAAAUUAAUUGAGUAAAAUAAAAUAUAUAUUUAAAUUAUUUAAAUGUUAUAUAAAAUAUUUGUUUAUUUUAAAUUUAUUUUAUUUAUAUAUUGUCAUAACUAUUUUAUUUUUGAAAUUAUGAUAUAAAUUAGUUAAAUUAAAUUUAUUAAAUAGAUGAUAAUAAUAUUAAAUUUAUUAAAUAUUAAUAUUAAUACUAAUAAUAUUAAUAAUAAUGUUAAUUAUAAUAUUAAUUAUAAUGUUGAUUAUAAUAGUAAUUAUAAUGUUGAUUAUAAUAUUAAUUAUAAUGUUGAUUAUAAUAUUAAUUAUAAUGUUGAUUAUAAUAUUAAUUAUAAUGUUGAUUAUAAUAUUAAUUAUAAUGUUGAUUAUAAUAUUAAUUAUAAUGUUGAUUAUAAUAGUAAUUAUAAUGUUGAUUAUAAUAGUAAUUAUAAUGUUAAUAAUAAUUUAAUAAUAUGAGUAUAAUUUAUUUUAUUAUUAUUAAUGUUAAUUAUAUUAAUAUGUAUAAAUUAUAUUAAUAAUAACUAAAAUAUAAAUGAUAAUAUGAUCAAAGAAUUUGUCUGGUCUAGUGGUUAAUGCUUCCUAAAUCACUGGAAGGACUUGAGUUUAAAUCCUGACGGUUCCAGUUUCCUGGAGUGUUGGUUUGAUGAUUCUCGCUCCUUCAAACUUAUGAAAUUGUCGUUGAGUUCUACCUGAGAUGUUUUUUGUCAUUUUGAUGAAACUGUAAUUGAACUUUUUUUAAUUGCUAUUAUUAUUAACUUGAAAAGAAAAUUAAUGAUAUUGUAUGCUUAUUUUUUAAUAUAUCUUAUUAAAUAUUUUUAUCAUUACAUAAAUGUAAAGAUAAAUUAUUAAUAUAUUUUUAUUUUAUUUUAUAAUUUUUAAAAAUAAUAUAAUUUAAUAUUAAUGCUUCGUAUAAUUAGAAAAAUACACAUUGUUACAUUUAUGUGUGUGAAGAUUAGUGGAUUUUACAAUAAAUAAAUAAUAAUGUAAAUAUUUAUUUUUAAAAAAAAUCUAUGAUGAUUAUUAUAAUAUUUAACAUAAAAAGUCUGGUUUACUAUAAUAGAUAGUUCUGAUGAAAACCUACGUAAAAAGUUAUAUUUUCUAUGACUAUAUUAAUCUUAAAAAGUUUUGUUUGAAUAAUAAAUUCAACUUAUUAUAAAAGUUCUUACAUACAAAAUGCAAAGUUUCUAUAUUCUAUAUCACCAUCAUCAGAAUGUUAUAAAAAGUCUUAUAGAACCGUAUACGCAUCAUAGUUAUAAAUUUUAUUGAGCUAUUACGAAUUCCAUGACUUGUUAUUACAUUCAAAGAGGUACAUUAAACUAGUGAAAUUUUCAAUAAUGGGUGGUAAAGAUUUUUCCAAAAUCACUUAAUUCAAUGAAUAGAAAAGGACAGAACCCUACACAAAUCAUAAAUAUUCAUUCAUAUCCAUAUACAUAACAUGAAACAUUUUAACAUAUAAUAAUUCAACAAACUUCAAGACAUCACUGACAUGCAUAUCCAACAUUAUUGCACCCAAAGGAAGGAUCAAGAUAAACAUAUCCCUCUACUCAAACUUCACACAGAUAUAUUAUUAUUCUUAUUAUUCAGAUAAGAACUUGACCUUAAGCAAAGCUCAUUAUUUCUUCUUCUUCUUCUUCUUCUUUUUAUUUUACACAUAGCUUUUUGGAGCUAUGCCUUAAGAAGAUGAGCAUCGAUAUCUGUGGUGCAUUUGUGGAGGUACUCUAUGUAGCCAUAUGGAGGAUCAACAUCUUCACGAAGCCUCUCAUAUUCAACAAUCCAUUUGAUGACAGCACCACCAUUCUCCUUAUCAGUAGCUUCAAAUAUCAGAUUGAGGAGCUUGUAUUGGUGAUCCAGGUCUCCACCGAAGAGCUUGAAGAUGAUUGUUUUCUUUGCUUCAUCAUAUUCCAUACUCUCCUGACAUGUCGUAACCUUACCAUCUGUUUUUUUAACAAAUCAAAACAAAUAACAUAAACAUUCUUGCAAAAUUAGACAAUGAUCAAUCUAAAUUUCUAGCCUAUAUUUUGAAUUCACCCGACCCGAAAGUACACUAUCCAUUCUGGGAACGUCCGGUGCCAAAGUCAUUGAAUGGGUAAGUCGCUAAUUUCUAAAACGAACUAUUUCAUGUAGUUUAUCCGCCCGCUGGGCUAUGAGUGGGUAUUUUCCCAGAGGUUUUUAUUGUAUCAAUCUACCCCUGUGUGAUUCUUGUUGAAGCAUAUACUCCUCGGGGAGGGUAGGGUGUAGGGCGGACGAUUUCAAAACAGAUUACCCAUUCAUUAGAUAGAGAAGAUCACCAAGAUUUCGUGAUUCGCUGUCGAACUUAUUAAAACAAUAUCAAUAACUAAUUUAAAAAUUAUUUUACAAUUUAAAAAUAAUUAGUUUUCAAAUUAUGUUUUUUUGCAAUGAAUAAGCUUUUUAACUAGUUAAAUAGUUAUUUAAAAAUAGUAAACAAAAUUUUAUUUAUUUUUAAUUAACUUUUAAUUAUUUAAGUUAUAUUAAUUCCUUAAACUUAGUGGUCAUUACUUCAAUCUCUAAUAACAAUAUUUUCAGCUAUAAUUUUUUUUUUUAAACUUUAACCUUGAUGUCUAAUCUUGAUUUUGUUUUAAUAUAUAUUUUAUAUGUGAAAAUUCAAGUAUGAGUUGAAAGUAGGAAUAAAAAAGUUGAUUGACAUAUAAAAAGAAAAUAUUUAUAUAAAUAUUAAGCUAUAAGAAUUUGGGUUGAAGAUAUUUUCAUAGUCUCUUGUAUGGAUUGACUCUAAGUUAUUGAUGGUCUUCCUAGUCUCUUUAAGCAUGUUCUCAUAAAAACCUAACAAGAGUUAAGGAAAAAUGUGUCGAGAUAAGUAGAGACAAGCAUGUCUAAAAAAUUCACAAAAAUAUUACUCUUAAAGUUUUUGAUUGAAAGUUGUGCGAUAAUUUUUUAUGAGUUGACUCUAACUCAUUGAUGGUAAAAAUCUUACAUUUUAUAAAAAUAAAAAAGUUAAGUAAUAUAUAUUAAAAAAACUAACAAAAACACUGAUUAGUUUCAAAGUUUUAGGUUGAAGACGAUGUAAUAUUAUUUUAUACAAACAAUUCAUGUUCAUUAAUAUUAGGAAUUCAGGUAUUUAAGAAAACAAUCACUAGAACAGAGAGAAUUGUGGAGGCAAACUAUGUUAAAAGUUAGGGUAAAAACAUAGUUGAAUUUACCUAUGAUAUAAGUCCAUUGUUUGAUGGACUCAUUGUGGUGCCAGUCAUGGCCAUCAUGCAGUUUGGCUUUGUGGAUUCUAUCAGUAAUGUUCUGAACAUGAUGCAGUUGCUUAGUGAAGAAGCUGAACAUCUUUGCAGCAGUUGCAUGAACCCCAGUUUCAGAGCUGAUUCUACCAGAAAGUGACAUGGUGAUAAAGAAAGAAGCAAGAAUAUGAAGCAGACAGAGAAGGGUGGGAGAUGGUGAAGAAUAACAUUGCCCCUUAUCCACUUAUAUAUAGCAACAACACAGUGCCACCCAUACCAAUCAACCAAUUCAUUAAAUUUUGUGGUUCAUUUUCAUACCCUACAAUAAAGAAAAUACCUAAUCAGAUUUUGUGUGAGAAUCUAGAUCCAUAUCUAAUACCAUAUAUCUAUUAUUAUUUUAUUUACUAUAAACCACAAUCACAAGGCUUUCAAAACCACAUGAGAAUAUCGUUUUUCCCGCUUAAAACCCUCUCACAUGCAUGUCUACGUAAGGCUGUUCUAUAUAAAAAACAAUAAAGCACUUAUUCAGGGUCUUGUCAUUCACAGAAAAUUAGGUGGUGUGAGUCAUUAUUGUCAUCACUAUAGAUUAUUAAAUUUUGAUAAAUUUAAAUGCUUUUUAUACUUGCUAUUAAAGGGAAAAUUGCUUUUUAGACAACUCACACUUCACUCUACAUUUUAUUAAAUAUUAAUAUUUUAAUCAUUUUUAAUUCUUUUAAUUUUAAAAAUUAUUUUAACAUUUUACAUUUUACAUUAUAUUUUCACUAAAAGAUUUUCUUAUUUCUUUUAUUAUAAAUAUUAAUGUUUUUUGGGUGUAAAGUGAAGUAGCAUCACCCUUAUAUAAAAUAUAAAACGUGCUCUGAUUUUGAAAUCCCCUUUUUUGUACAUUUAUAUAAAAAAAUAUGCCUCCACAUAGAACGUGCUUUGAAAUUCUGUUUCACUAAAAAAAAUAUAUUAAAUAAAACUUAAUUUUAAAAUUAAAAUAAUUAAUUAUUGUUUGAUUAAAUUAAAAAUUAUUUUAUAAAUUAAAAAAUUUAUAAGUAUAUAAAUAAUUUUUAUCAUUAUUAAAAAUUUAUAAAAUAGUUUUUAAAUUGGUAUUUAAUGAUUAGUUAUUAAUAUUUUAACUAUUUAUUAUUUUAUAUUUUAAAUUAGUUUUUUAAGAUAAUUUAAAAUCUAGAAUAUCAAUUUAAAAAUUAUUGUAAAUAUUUAUUAAUAAUAAAAAAUAUUAUAUAUAAAAAUAAUUUUUUAAUUUUUAAAUAAUUAUCUAAUUUAAUUAAUAUUAUAAUUAAUUAUUUUUAAUCUUUGAAUUUAAUUAUUAUUUAAUAUUUUUUAUAAUAUUUUGUACAGUUCAAUAAAAUAUGUCUUCAAUAGAACGUGUUUUGAAACCAUGCCCUAGUAUUUUGUGCACUUCUCUCAUUGCUAAUUUGCCCCCACAUAACUAAUUUUUCUGUCAACUUACUUAGGAAGUAGAGGUUCUAAAGUGACUGGUAUAUUCAACUUUUUCUCCAUACCCCUUCAAUUUCUAUAUCCAAUUAGAUCAAAUUUAUCCUUUCUUUCUGCACAUACAAAUGAUACCCAAAACAUUAUUUUAAGCUCCCAUGUUGUCCACCCAUUCAAUCUCAUUAGUAGCCCCACAUACCAAAACAUUUUUUUGAAUUAAUCUUCUCUCUCUUUUAUCAGUAAAGAAUAAAUAAAAUAAAAUAAGACACUUUCAGGGUGUCUCAAUCCUUAUACAAAAAUAACCUAUACUAAACUUCUUAACAUUCAACCAACUGGGAAUCUAACAUACUCUACGAAACAUCAACCAGGGUGAUAUAGACAUGACAAGACUGAUAUAGGUAUGAUCACAUCAAAAUACAAUUACAUCAUCCCUCCAAAUGAGACACGUUCUCACAAAAUAAGAAAAAAUAAAUACCACCAAACACCUUUCUUCAACAAUUGAAUACGAUCUUUGCCAACAAGUAGAAGUAACUCAAACACCCAAGAGUUAUAAAUAUCAAACCAAACCUGUAAGAAAACUACAGAAGCCAAAAACCUACACUAAAUCACACAAAAACUUCCAAACCUAGUCAAGACCUUAAACAUAAAUUACCUAACAUCAAUUUCUCAAAUACCUCAUAUAACAUAAAGGUUCCAAACAUCAAUCCGAGUAAGAGAAAUCAACCAAUCGUUCCUUUAUCGUAGCCCAAUACCAGGUAUUCCUUUGUACCACAGUAAAAACCUCAACUACAUCAACUCAUCCAUUCUUAAAAACAACCAUAUUCCUAUGAUUCUAAAUUUCACCUAUAAUACCAACCCAAAUCCCCCCAACACCUAAUAGUAGUAUGUUUCAAACUUGUAGGUUUAAACAUCUUAAAGUACAUUUGUGCAUCACAAUGAAAUACUGAAGAGAACCCCAACCACUCGAAACAAAGCCUCCAAAUUUUCUAAGAAACCCUAUAUUCAAAGAAGAGAUGACUUACCGACUCCUCUUCCACACCGCAGAGAGGACAACGAUUACACAAUAGAGAAAUUAACAUUGUCAGUAUUAGUUUUUUUACUACAGACCAUGUUUGCACUCUCCUUUCUUAUUAAUUCUUUUAUAUAAUUUUUUUUAUGUGAUGAAAGUAAUUCUAUCAUUUUGUUAAACCAUGGUAAUAAGUCUUACGUAUGCCAGCCAUAAUAAUGACUUCUUAUUAACUUUUGCAUGUCACACUAAUGCAAUAUGUUUAGGGUUAUGCUUUUUAAUGCUAGAAAAGCAAAAUGAAAAAUGAAAAAUAAAAAAUAAAAAAUGAAAUUAUUUAGAUUGAGGAAAAGAAAUGGUGAGUGAAAAAAAUCUAAAAAGUUGAGGUUGGUGUAAUAAAAUAAAUUUUUAGUAUAUAUUUUAAAAUAAAUUUUAAACUAAUUUUUAAAAAUAAUUUAAUAUAGAAAUACGUUUUAACAUAGAAAUUAAAAUUAAAAAAAUUAAUUAAAAUAAAAUUUAUUAUUAAAUCUUAGUAAAUAAAAAAAUUAUAUUUAAAAUAAUAAUAUAUUAAAUGAAUUACUUCAUAAAAUAUAAAUAUAAAAUUUAAAUUAUUUUAUUUUAUAUUAUGUUUUAAACAAGAAAAUGCUGGCCAAAAAAAAAAAAAAUGGAACAGAGAGUAAAAGCAUGGAACAAAGGUGAAACAGACCUCUAGAUUGGGACUGAGGACGACAACAUAUAAAAAAAAUGUAGGACACAAUGACGAGAAAAAAAAAUAUGAAUACUAAACAAGUCCAGACAUAUUCACAUUUUGAUUUUGAUAGGACACAAUGACAAGAAAAAGAAUCAGGAUACUAAAAAAUCGAGACAUAUUCACAUUUUAAUUUUGAUAAAUAUUAUAUUAUAUAUAAAAAUCAUUAAAUAAUAAUUAAAUUUAUAAAAUAAUUUUUAAAUUAUAUCUAAAUUAACUAUCAAAAUUUUAUUAAUAUUUUAAAUUUUAAAUUUAUUUUUAAAAAAUUAAUAAAAUUAAUUUGUAAUAUAAAAUAGUUAGUAUUAAAAUCUUAGUCUGACCAAUUUACAAAACGGCCUUUAUAAAUUUUUAUUAGUAAUAAAAAUUACUUUAAAUAUCAAUAAUUUUUUAUUUUAUAAAAUAGUCUUUAAUUUAGUCUAAAAUAUAAUAAUUAAUUAUUAUGGUCUCUAAAAUUAAUUUCUAUUUAAUGAUUUUUUUAUAAUGAUAUAUAUAUAUAUAAUUUAUAUUAUCAUAAUAUUAUAAAGUAUAUUUUUUAAAAUUUUAAAUAUAUACAUGGUAAGAUAAAAAGAUUUCUCAAUUUUCUAUACUAACUCCUAUAGUCUUAUUUCCGUAUAAUACAAGCAUUACAAAUUAUAAGAACAAACAUAAGCAAAAAUGUACAGUAAAAGUAGAGUUUUUAAAACUUUCAAUGCAAUUAUAUAGCAAGUAAACAUUGAAUAAUCAUCUCAUAAUUUACAUUACAAUAUAUUAAUCGAUAAUCAAGUGUUUAUUCUCAAUUCUCAUAUAACAUUCACUAUUCAUGUUAAAAAUUCAUUAACCUAUAACAACAAACAUUUGACUUUAUUUUAGGAAGACUUAUGCAUCCAAAUUAAAUAUAUAUGCACAUGUCUUAACAUCAAGAAAUUUAUUCUUUUAUGAGAGGGUAAUUUCCUUGUGACAUACUCAAUACAAUUUUUUUCACACCCCCGAUAGGUCAUAGAAACUUCCUUCAACGCCUAAACACCUUUUUCUAUGUGAUACCAGUAUAUCAGGAGAGUUAGGACAAUCUAUUCCACAGAGUCCCAAAAUCAAUACACCCUCUUAACAUCUCGACACAGUACCCUCUCCGUGAAAAAACCUAUGUCCACAUCAUAACACAUACUAUGAAUUAGUAAACAUAAAUAAGUAUUUUCUUCUUAAUUCAUGAAAUUUCUCACAACAAUGUUCACAUAUAUAUAAUAUAUAUAAAAUCAACAAUUCAUAAAAGAUUCAAGCAAUACAUGUAUCAUGACAACAUCCAAUUACAAGGAACAUCACUCAAAAAGUUUUAAAAGUUACUUAAACGUGAAAUUUUAAAAGUGAAGAACAUGCAUUCUCGCUCAACGAGUAAGAGGCUUGCCUAGCAAGCUAUUUAGGGAAUCCUUGUUUCACUUAGUGAGGCUCUAUCAUCCAAAUAUCAAAAACUCUUAGAUUUUUAGAUCAAACAAUUUCUUUCGUCGACUAAAUCUUUGGGACCAAAUUCGAUUGGGCAGCUUGACUCUAAUCACUACUAAUGAUUCAAUAGUUAUAUCUCUGAUAAUUAAUUUGAUAAAGGAUGAGGUCAAAAAUCUAGAGAAAAGAUAGAGGGAAAAAUGUUUUUAUAUAAAGUGGUAGUUAUAUUAAAAUAAAAUUUAAAUAAAUAGUUUUUUAUUUAAAAUAAUUUUUUAUCUAAAUAAUAAAAAUGUGUAUGUAUCAUCUAAAUAAUAUCACUUUAUUUUUAGACUAGUUUCUAAAUCCUUAUACAUCUAAAAAAUUUCUUAAAUAAUUAAUUAAAUCCAUAUAACAAGUAUUUAUUAUGACAUUAACUUUUAACUAUUCUAAUAAAUUAUGCGAAUUAAAUUAAUACCUAACAUAGGAAAUAUUUAAAUUUAUAAUUAUUACUAUGAUAGGUAAAUACAAAUUGCUAUUAUAAGUCAACUUUUUAGAUAGUGAUAGCUUACUUAACCAUUAAUUCUAAUCAAAAUGUCUGAUAUUAGGUCUACAUUUUAUAAUCUAAUAUUCAAAUUUUGAAGACCGACCAAAUGCCACCAUAUCAUGUAAUUCAAGAUUUGGAUUAUAAUUAAAAACUUAUUUUUAUUUAUUUAUUUAAUUUAUAAGAUUAUUAAUUCAUAUAAAUAAAUGAAUGAUAAAUAUCUUGUUUUACUGUUUUAUAUUAUUUUUAUUUCAUUUAAUUUGUAUCAUCAUCAUUUUUUUUUUGUUUUUCAUUCCCAUACAAUUUUUUAAAUCAUGCCAAUAAAUUGCAUUUUUUUUAUGAUUAAUAUUAACAACGUGUGUUAACGUGUCCCGUUGUAAAAAAUAUGUCAUGUCAAUCGUGUCAUGACAUAAUAAUUUGACGAUGUCGCUAAAAAUGUAAUAACUUAAUAUUUGCAAUAUUACACUGAAAAAAUAUGUCAUAUAUCAAUUGUGCAAUCAUUAAUAAUUUUGGUUUUUGCAGUGAAAUUAUUAUUAUUAUUAUUAUUAUUAUUAUUAUUAGAAUUAGAAUUACAUGCUUAAUAAAAAAGGGUGUGUCAUCAUAUCAAUCAUGUCAUCACAAUGAUAAUAGACUAUAAAGGAAAAGAUAUGUGAUCAAAUGAAAUUUAUAAAAGAAGUAAAAAAUUAAAGAUAAUGGGGGAUUAAGCUUUGGAAGGUUCGUUGGAUUGUUGGAGAUGGUUUUCAAAGAUUUGUUGAAAUAGGUAAGAAAGAUAAUAACAUUUAUUUCCAAGUUGAUGAUUGUAUUGCAUACGUGGAUGGAUGAAAUGACAUUUAAUAGUAGUUGUAUGAUAAAUUCGUGUCUUGGUACGAUGAUUUGUAUUAGAUUUGUUCUUUGAAUGAAUUGGUAUUGGUAUUGGUAGUAGAAGAAACUUAGAACUGUUAGAGAACUUUUAGAAAACAUCUUCUACUUCAUUUUUCAGUUGAAUACGACUCACGCAGCCUUUUUAUAAUUCAGUUCAGUUUCAAGUAAUAAAUAAUUAUUGUAUUUAUUCUUGCAUAACUCUUUUAAGUUAUAAUUAUUAUUUAUCAAUAAAGAAAAAUAAAUAAAUAUGAAGUUGUACCCGUAUAGGCAAAGAGGGUUUAGAUAGUAUCUAAAACUGGUUGUACAAAUUGUUGACGUGGCGAUGAUUUCCUCGCUCCUUCCUUCGAGUCUCCUUUCUCAAAUGUCGGCACUUGGUCGGGGUUGACCUGAAAAAGGUACUCCGACGAUCAAGUAAGUACUCUAUGUAAAGAGUGUAUAUUUGUAAACUGAUUAAAGCAUACCUUACACCUCUGCAAAUGGUUUAUUUAUAGUGUUGGUCAUGGACCCUUAUGAUGGGUUGAAUAUCAGUUGUUUACCGAUGUGUAUCGUGAUCCCUGAUUUAUAUAGAGAUAUCCUUGUAUAUAGGUUUGUUGGUAUAUUUUAAGAAUAUUUGUAUCAUCUUUCAGUUAAUCAGUAUUUAGCUGAUUUGUCAGAGAUAUUUCCUGCAUAAUCCGCGACAUAAAUGUGACUCAUAAAGGGCUCUCAUAAUUGUCGUUGACAUCAUUUAUUAAGUGCUUUAAAUGUGCUUUGGUGGGGUCGGUCGGUCACUGAGGUCGAAUGACUGACUCGUCCCGCACCGACCGGUACAAAAUCACUUCAAGGAUGGUCCAACCCUGUACAAAACUCAACAAAAAUGUACAACACCUCCCCUAAAAGCUUAAGCGAACAACGAUUCUUUCACUUCGAAUUCUCCCUUGAAUUGACAGACAACAAGUUGUGAGUCACUUCUUCAAAUAAGUUUUUUUGGCCUCCAUAUCUAGUGCUAGAUUGAGACCGACUAUAAUGGCCUCGUACUCGACCUGAUUAUUGGAUGUUUUGAACUCGAACUUUAAGGCUUGCUCGAGGAGGAUAUCGCCUGGUCCCUCGACCACCACCCAUGCACUACAUGAUUUGCUGUUAUAGGACCCAUUGACAUGCAAGAUCCACUGUGAGUCCUCCUCUUCGGUUGGAUGAGGGUUGAGCUCAGCUGCAAAGUUGGCCAAAGCCUGAGAUUUAAUUACCCCCUCGGCUAAUAUUGAAUCUGAAAUUCGGAUAACUCAACGACCCAUCCAAUCAUCCGUCCAGCCAAAUCCGACUUUUCUAGUAUCUUCAUUAUCGGAUAGUCGGUCUUGACUAUUAUACAAUGAUUUUGAAAAUACAUGCACAUUCUUCGUGUUGUCAUCACCAAGGCCAGGACUACUUUUUCGAUCAUCUUGUAACGUAUCUCGGCACUGUGAAGUACCCUACUGAUAAAAUAAAUUGGUAGCUCAUCCUUUUCCACUUUUUGUACCAAUGUUCCAUUAACCGCGUCUUCUGAGACAACGAGGUAAAUUAUUAUGGGCUUUGUGGCUUUCGGCUUCUGAAUAAGUAUUUUGGCCUCCAUAUCUAGUGCUAGAUUGAGACAGGCUAUAAUGGCCUCGUACUCGACCUCAUUAUUGGAUAUUUUGAACAUAAACUUUAAUUCUUGCUCGAGGAGGAGAUCGCUUGGUCCCUCGAGCACCACCUAUGCACUACAUGAUCUGUUGUUAUAGGACCCAUCGACAUGCAAGAUCCAUUGUGAGUCCUCCUCUUCGGUCGGAUGAGGGUUGAGCUCGACUGCAAAGUUGGCCAAAGCAUGAGAUUUAAUUACCCCCUGAGCUGAUAUUGAAUCUGAAAUUCGGAUAACUCAAUGACCCAUCCAAUCAUCCGUCCAACCAAAUCUGACUUUUCUAGUAUCUUCAUUAUCGGAUAGUCGGUCUUGACUAUUAUACAAUGAUUUUGAAAAUACAUGCACAUUCUCCGUGUUGUCAUCACCAAGGCCAGGACUACCUUUUCGAUCAUAUGGUAACGUAUCUCGGCACCGUGAAGUACCUUGUUGAUAAAAUAAAUUGGUAGCUCUUCCUUUUCAACUUUUUGUACCAAUGUUCCACUAACCGCGUCUUUUGAGACAACGAGGUAACUUAUUAUGGGCUUUGUGGCUUUCGACUUUUGAAUAACUGGGGGACACCAAGAAAGCUUUUAAUUGAAGAAAAAUCCCUUCACACUCGCUUGUCCAUUGGAACUUAGCCUUAUUGCGUGAAAUUGUACGAUGGGCUUGGUUAUGCUGCUAGCCUUGGUACGAACCUAGAAAGGUUGUUAGUCGCUCGACCAAUCUUCGAAUUUCUUUGACGUUCUCAAGACUAACCAUGUCGGUGAUUGCCCUACAUUUCUCCAGGUUUGCCUCUAUGCCACGAUGAGUGAGCAUAAAACCUAAAAACUUUUCUCCUUCUAUCCUAAACGCACACUUGUCAGGGUUGAGUUGCAUGUCGUAGUUUCGAAUAGCUUGAAACACCUCCUGUAGGUCUUGGAUGUGUUGUUGGCAUGAGUCAAAUUUGACUACAAUGUCGUCUACAUAAACCUCGACAUUACGGUCGAGCAUCCCUUAUAAAAUGUAGUCCAUUAGCCUUUGAUAGGUGGCCCCUCAAUUUUUGAGGUCGAACAACAUGACUUCAUAAUAGAAAUAUUCACAAUCUUUCAUAAACGUCGUGUUUUCUUUAUCUCUUGGGUGCAUCUGGAUUUGUUAUAUCCGGAGUAUGCAUCCAAAAAACUUAGAAUGUUGUGGCUGGUCGCUCCAUCGACGAGGUGGUCGAUGCUUAGUAGAGGGUAAAAGUCCUUUCGACAAGCUUUUUUGAGGUCAAUGUAAUCAGUGCACAUUCUCCAUUUGCUAUUGGACUUUUUUACCAUGCCACAUUGGCCAACCAGGUGUAGUGUGCUUUUUUUAUGAAGCCAAUUUUUACUAACUUCUCAACCUAUUGUCGUGCGGCAUCACGUUUCUCUUCACCCAUCUUUUGUUUCUUUUGAGUGAUUGGUUUAGCCUUUUUAUAGACGGAGAGACGAUGUGUAAUGAUGUUCGGACUCACUCCGGGUAAAUUCGAAGUUGUCUAAGCAAACAAAUCAACAUUAUCAAUUAACGUUUGACUUACCAGGUUGUUGUCGUCUGGUUUCAGGGAAGUCUCCAUAUGUGUUGCAUGCUCUUCAUCCUAGAGGGGUAGCGGGCGAAGGUCCUUGCUUGGUUCAAUAAGGGCUUCGUUGAGCCAAUGGUCAAGAUUAACCAGGGCGACCAUGUGUUCUCUUGACUUUCUAUCACGGAAUCGAUCCCUGGUCGGUUCCCUAGAUCUUGGCGAGUGUCCCCUCCUUCCCAUGGACCGCUCACGCGGUGAGGCCUUGUACAUCCGACUAGUCGGUGUAACCUUUAAACUUGUGACAUAGCAUUCGUGAGUUGUCUUCUGAUCGACAUGGACAGUAAUGAUGUCACCUGUUACCGAUGGAAACUUCAUUGCAAUGUGGGGAGUGGACAUUAUUGCCUUUAGACGGUUAAUGGACGAUCGACCAAGCAAUAUAUUAUAAGAGGAUUUGCGUUUACCAGGAGAUAUAUGAUUUUUAUUGUAUUGCAAAUGUACCCUUCUUCCCCCAAAUGUGGUGUACAAGUUAAUGAAUUAUUGUGUGUCCGCUCUCUCACUAGAAAAUCCAACAAUCUGGUCGUUGUAGGGCUGAAUUUCUAAUUCUAGAAUCCUCAUUUUCUUGAAAGUCCUCCAGUACAGGAUGUCAACCGAGCUGCCUUGAUUCACCAAAAACUUAGAGAUGGCAAAAUUUUCAAUCUCCACGGUAAUGACCAAGGGGUCAUUCUGGGUUGGGUCAAUAGUGGUGAAGUCGCCAUCUGUAAAAGUUAUUGGUGGAAUCCUCGAUCAACCCUUGGUGGUUAUUGAGUGGACUGACUGAAUGGUUCGAAGAUGCUUCUUCUUGACGGAACUGGAACAUCCUCUUCCAACAAAUCCUCCAGCGAUAGUGUUUACUUUCCCCGUAGCGUGUUUAGGACUUUUGCUUUCCAGGGAAGGACUUCUACGUAAUCGUCCCUUUCUUCGACUGAUGCUUCCGAGCGGGAUCGUACUGGCUAUAGUAUUGAUGACCUCCUAGGUGCCACGUCUCGAUUGAUCGUUCCUUCGAGAACUCUCGCUUUGCGACCGAGUCCUAUGUACAAGACUUUCACUCCUUUUUUUUUCUUAGAAGGGUGUUGGUCAUCGUCAAAACGACAUGAUCCUUCUCGUCCAUGUCGUGUAUACUGCUUUUCCGUUCCUUGGGAGGAUAUCUCUCCUUUUGUGGGGAUUGGUGUGCAUAAGUGAAAACCCUCGGUCGUGUGGUCGUAGUUGCGAUGGUACCGACAAUGUUUAGACAUAUCGGCAUUUGUCGGACUUUACAAUUGUUUUAAGGUCAGGAGUAGUUCACCUUGUAGGGAUUCGUCCAUAAUUUUACCCCUUACAGCAUUCAAUGGGGUGUAGGUAUGAAACUGAGAUCCUUGUGUUUCUUUGAACCUGUCCGACCGAUUGGAUGUGGAUUGGUUUCCUCUGUCUUUCUCUUUUACUUUAUCUCCUCCAUUCUGAACCCGGACACUUCUGUGGAAGUCGCGCAUAAGAAUAGAAAAUGCAACUAAUGAGACAUGCCUUAAGCAUAAGAAUAACAAAAAGAAUUUGUCUAACACAUUGUUUAUUACAUUGAUUGAAAAUUUGUUUCGAAGUCUAAAAUGAAGAGUGACCAAGUCUAGAAUGACAAAGAUUAAAAGUUGGUAAAGAUUUCACUAAAGAAGUAUUAUUAGCAUAAAAACCCAAAUGUUGAAACGCAUGGAAAAUAUACAACUUAUCCUUAAUUUUUUCUUGAAAAACAAUUUUCUUGGAGGCCUUAUUUUCAACAUAACAUUUCUUAUGAUAAAAUUCAAAAUACACAUUAUUAUCUUUGGCAAAUUUUGAAACAUUGAUAAGAAUUUUGUUAAUUUCAAGAACAUGAAACAAAUGAUUUAAAUAAAAGGUCGUGUCAUGUGUGGUAUAGUAAAGCAAACAUUUCAAACAUGUUUGAUAAGCAUACCUAAGUCAUUAUCAAUUUUAAUUAUGUCAUUACACAUUAAACAUUAAGAAUUGUUAGAAUGAAAAGACAUUUUUCCUCCCUAUUUUAAGAGUUGUUGAUGCAAAUGUGAUUUUGUUGAUGAUUUGACAAAGACUAUGAACCAAAAGUAAUAAUAGCUUGUAAAGGAGAUAAAAAAAAAACCAUGUUUCUCAAACUGCAAUUCUUGUGUAAGAAGAAGUGCCUCAAUCUGGUCCUGGAUUAGGACAAGUUAUCUUGAAUUAUGUUAAUCAUGUUGUGUUGAGAGAUGUUUGUUAUAUCUUGAGAACCACUUCAACUACGUCAACAAAAUGGUCUUUAGAUGGUCGACCCGUUUUCAACCUUUAAACAGUGUGUGUCAAGAUCCCCUCAAUCACUUACUUAACAAAUACUUUUACUCAAAAAUUCUAAAUUUUGAGUGAUUAUCUUGAGUCAACGAAAAAUUAUAUCUAAUGGAUGUUGAGUUUAAAGAUCUACAAGAAAAAUAUAAUAUUUCAUGGGCCAAAAACGGACGCAUAAGAGUCGGAUUUUUGUUGGCCAAACCUACGCAUAUUAAAAUACUUUGCGUCGGUUUUGCGUGGGUUUAGCCCACGAAAAUCGCGCCUACACUUAGCACACACAUACAUAUGAAAGCUAAAUCACCGUUUUCUUGUAGUGAAUGUUUUCUAUGAUGGAUUUAAAAUAAAAUUUGAUUAACUAGGUCACAACCGUAUGAGCUAAACCAAAUUCUGAACUUAUUAAAUUAUAUAAAACGAUUAGUUGUUAUUUUGAUAUAAAAAAACAUCUCGUGGAUAGCAAGAGUUGAUAAACUUUUAUAUAUUUGGUUUUUGAUUGAUAAAGGUAUAUUAAUUAAAUUCCUGAACUUCUGGAUAAUAAUACAUUCCAAUUACAAUAAAGAUAUUUGCGAAAUCAAACUUAAUUAAAACAAUUCAGAAACAUAACGUAAUGCAUCCAUGUUUAUUCAACACAUAAAAAGGACUAUCACAUGAAUUUAUUGUACAUAUAUAUAAUGACUUCAUCCAUAGCCAAUCUCCAUUAAUUAUUUGAUAUUUGUUAUUAUUUUGUUCAUAAGUUUUGGAGCUAUGCCUUGAGAAGAUUGCCAUCAACAUCUCUGCUUCCAUUGUGCAAAUAUUCGAGGAACCCAAAUGGAGGAUGAACUUCCUCACUGGUAGUUUCGUAUUCAAUGAUCCAUUUGAUGAUGGAACCACCUUCAUCCUUAUGAAUUGCUUCAAAUAUUACCUUUAAAACCCUAAACUUGUGAUCGAAUUCUUCACCGAAGACCUUGUAGGUUAUUGUUUUGUUUGCUUCAUCAAUGGAUUCAAUACUCUCGUGAUAUGUUGUCACCUUACCAUCUGGUGUUUUACAAGCAAUAAUCAAUACCAACAACAUACACAUAAAGAGUUACAAAAUACAUUAAUCUCUUUGGUAGUUCUUUUAGCUUCAAUGUUAAUUUCUUUAAUUAAAACCAUUAAGAAAUUGACCUUAAUAAUAGUUUGUUCAUUAUAUUUCUUUUUUUAUUAGUAAAAAUAAAUUAAUCAAUAUGCUCCAUAUCAUGAGUGAUCCAACCAUUUUACAAAACGUCUCGUUUCAAGAGAGAGAUCCUACAAGUUUACUAAAAACUGUCAACUCAAAAUCAACCUGUUUGUUUAAAUGAGGAGUGGUUGAUCAUACUGAAGUAUUUUCUAUGACACAUGUCAAGGUUUGGUCUUGGAUCAAUUCAAAGAUACCGUCAGUGAGUUUCUCGUUCUCUGAAUGGUGUCUUGAACCCUUGGUAUGUAUGUACUCGAUUUAAUGUUGGUGCGUUGUUUUAUUCUUCAGUCAUUAGUGUUGGGAAAAGAAGUAGAUGAUUAAUCUGUGAAUUUUAGGUACGAAGGUAGAAAGAAACUUUUAUCUUUUAUUCUCUGUAUGAGGGUUGGACCACCUCUUAAGUGGACCUAUUUAAUUUAAUUGCUUAUUGCCGAUAAAAAACAACUAAAAAGAAAACUCCACAAAACCAACUAACUCAAAAUUAUCAAAGACUCUAGAUCAUAAACAAACAAGUCAACAGAUCAAAAUAAGAGUCAUAAAAAGAAAAACAUGCAGAAACAAAUUUUGUUGUAAUACAUGAUCAAACAUUUAGCUGAACUAAUUUUUUUUUUCAAAAUAAUCAAUCACUCCAUCUUUAAAUACGUAUUUAUUUGUAUUUUGACUGUAUAUAUAUAAUGCUACUUGUCUCUAUCUCUAUAUAAGGAUUGAAUAUUUACCUAUGGUACUAGUCCAGUGUUUGAUGGACUCAUUGUGGUGCCAGUCAUCACCAUGGUGCAGUUUGGUUCCGUGGACUCUAUCUGUAAGGUUUUGAACAUCAUGGAGUUGUGUCGCGAAGAGGUUGAACCACUUUGCAGCAGUUGCAUGAACCCUAAUUUCAGUGCUGAUUUUACCAGCAAGUGACAUUAUGAUCAACCAACAAGAAAGUAUAAUAUAUGGAACAAACAAGAAGUGUGAGAGAUGGAGAAGAAUGCCACCAUAUCCCACUUAUAUAGGAACUUAAUUAAACUUUGGAUCCAAAUCUCAAAACAUGGAGAAGAGAAUUAUUUUUUAUUAAAAAUACUAUUCGUAAUAAUGAUCUGUAGUGUGAGGCACAAAUUUCCAAAAUGACAUAUUAAAAGGUGAUAUAUUUUUUAAUAUUCUUUGUAAUGAAUUCCAAAUUAUCGGUAGUUAUUUUUUUUUUUAAUUUUAAUUUGUUUCUUCAUCAUAUAUGGUGGAAGACUAGAAGUCCACAUCUGGUGGAUAAUAAUUAGAACUAAUUAAAAUGGUUUUAGAAGCAACCUUUGAAGUCAUUAAAAAGAUUGCUACAAUAAUUCUAAAUCAACUUAAUAUACUGUAAUUAAACUAAUACAAACUUAAUUAUAAUAUUUGUAUUGAUUCACGUCCAUUCCUGCCUGGACAUAAUGCAUAUAUAUAAAUAAGUUGACUUUAGGACAAUAAAUAUUAUAUUUUUUAAUAAUAUUUAUCAUUCACAAUUAUUAAAACUAAGAUCCUGUGAAGAGAAACAACGAAGAAGAAGCUUAAUGUAAAUCCAUGAUUAGGAAUGAGAUUAUUUAAGAACAAUUUUAAAUGAUUAUAUUUUGAUAUACUUUAUUUUAGAUAAAAUUAUGUGAUGAUAUAUUAUUAAAUGUGAGCUUAACUUUUUAUUUUUAUAUAUACAAUUACAAUGUAUUCAAGUUAAUUUUAAUGUUUUAUAUUUUAUAAUAGUAUUUGAAUUGUAGUUUUGAAGAAUUAUUUUAUUACGCCUUUUGUUUUUGGAGAAAAUAUAAUGUGGGAGAUUUUAUACCAACUAUUAAUUUUAAAGGAAUUUAACAUAUUAAUAUUAUAUAUAUAUAUAUAUAUAUAUAUAUAUUAGAAUAUGCUUACAUUAAAAUUAAUAGGCAGGCAUGAUAUAAGAUGCUUAUUUUGUGCCACUAUUAUUAUACGAUAUUUAUUUUUAUAUAAAAAAUUAAAUGAGCAUUUUUUAAUACUAAUUAUAAUAAAAUCAUUGUCUAGUUUUCAACAUUAUUAAACUUGUUGUUAUUAUAAUACAAUAGUAAGAAAAAUGUAUAAUAUUUGAGCAAUUAUUUUAUAUUUUUUAUACAUAAAAUAAUGAACAAAAGUUUUAAUACAUUUUCCUAAUCCAAACUAGAGGCACUUUAAGCAUUUGAUUUUGGUUUAUUCAUGUAAUGAAUCAUAUUAAUUAAUGGGACAUUUUUCUAAUCCGAACUACGCGCACUAUAAUUCUUUACUUAUUUUCAUAUUUGUAGAAGAAUAUAAGUUUAAUGAAAAUAUUGAAAUUUUAGAUAAUGUUUUAAAGGUUAACACAAUGAAAAAACUAACAGGACAAAAAAUAAUUAUUAAUAUGUGCGUGUAUGAAACAAGAAAUACUUAUUAGAAUGCAAAAUUCUUAAAAAAAUAUUUAAUUCUUUAACUUCCAUUAGAAAUAUUGAUUACGAAAGUCAUUUUUCUUAAACUAUAUGAAUAUGAGAAUUAAAUAUUAAUUAAUUUGUUGUGCAACAUAAAAAAAAAUAUCAUGCAUCUCGUGGCUAUAAAAACUAGUACAAUAAAGAUAAGACCUUCUUCCCUUAACCACGUGUUAAUACUAUAACUAAAUAUUUUUACGAUUUGAUAGGCUUCCACAGGGACACUUCUCUUAAAUAGCGUUUCCAUGUUAGAUAGAUGUAUUGGAUACCGAUAUUUGUAUGACACUCUUAGGGUAUAUAUUAGUGAAGUGUCUAAUUCAAAAAAAUAUUUGUUAAAUUUCUGACAAUUUUAGCAUGGAUCUAACCAAAUUUUAAAAAGGAGAAAUAUAUUCAUUUUCUAAAAACCAAAAUUUAUUGUAUUAAAUUUUAUUAUGAUUAUAAAAAUAAGGAACAAUUCCUUUUGAACUAGUCAUGAAAAACAUCUUCUGCUGUAAAAAAAACUAAAACAUACUUAGUGCACGUAAAUCUUUAUUGUCAAUUUAUAUAAUUCACAAUUAUAUAAUAUAUACAUCCGUAUUCUCAUGAACUACAUUUUAGUAAUUAUACGUAUCUCCGUGUUUGUAUCUAUGUCGUAUCAGUGUCCUGUGUCAGUAUCUGUGUUACAUAAGCUGGAAGGUUUGGUGUUGUGCGUUUGGACAACGCUUAGGGUUGGGUGAGAGUCUAUGUAACACUGACACAGACACUAAUAUGAUAUAGAUAUAAAGACGAAAAUAUGUAUAAUAUUUAAAAUAUAGGAUAUGAGAAUACGGAUCUAUAUAUUAUAUAAUUAUGAAUUAUAUAAAUUGAUAAUAUCGAUUUGUGUGUACAAGUAUGUUCAAUUUUUUUUAGCAGAAAGAUAUUUUUUAUGGCAGGUUCAAAAACAUUUAUUCCUUAUUUUUGUAAUCAUAAUAAAAAUUUAUACAAUAAAUUUGAGUUUUUAAAAAAUUAAUGUAUUUCUCAUUUUUAAAAUUGUGUAAUUACCACGUUAUAAUUGUCAGAAAUUGAACAAAUAUUUUUUGAAUUAUACAUUUUAUCAACACGUGUUUUACGAGUGUUGUACAAAUAUCGUGUUUGAUAUAUAUAUUUAAUAGGGAUAUACCAUUUAAAAAACGUAUCCGAACUUGAUAGGUGAGAUAGGUGAGAAGUCCUCUCAUGCAGAACUUGGCCUUGCGUGUUGGUUGACGUGGAUUGCUGGGUGCUGCCUGCAGUUUCUACAGUCCGCAGUUCACGUGGCUGUUUAGUUGACUUUGCUUGCUGUAGGCUAACGUUAACAGGUUGCCUUGUGUGGAAUAUUUUUUUGUUAUGUGGUAAGAUAGGUAACGACAAUUCUGGGAUUUUAAAAUAUUUGGAGUUUCUUAAAGAAUAAUAUUCUUUUUUAAAUAAGUAGCUAAACAUCUAAUAAUGUUUGUACCAUUUUUUUUGCAAUUGUCAAUUUGUGUAUUAAUAGUGAUUUAAUUGCAGUUCAAAUUCUUAAAAAUAUUUAUUUGGUUGGUCUGUAAUAUUGAAAAAAAACAUUUUUAUUAUAAGAUUAUUCUAACUAUAGGUAAAAAAAAAACCUCUAAUUCAUUUAGAUAUAUUUUUAAAAAAUUAAUAUUGUUUGGAAUUUGUUAGGUCCGUGGGGAUCAUUCCUUUUGAAAAAUGAUUUUAUAAGUUUGAUUUUGAUUUUCUUGAGGAUAUGAGAAGAGUUCAUGUUGGGAUCUUGGAAUCUCAAUUUGAAGAUUUUGAGAGAUUUUGUUUGAACUAAAGGUUUUGUUUAUGCUUCCUUGAAACUUAUCAAAAUCCAAUAUUGGAUUAAGAUUCAAGGUUCUCCUUUGGAAUAUUGGAACUAAAGGUUGGAUCAAAAUCCAAUAUUGAAACUUUGCUUUUAUUGCAAAUAUUGAAUAUGAGAAGUUGCCUUCAUUUUGCUUCUCAGAUUGGUCAUGAUUUAUCUAAAUGUAGGAGACAGUAGGAGAUAGUCGGAGACCAAUUAUUAUUUUUUAUCAACAAAGAAUAAAUGGAAUAAAAAUGAAUAUUUAAGGUAUACCUCAACCCUUGUGCAAAAAAGCUAUUGCACGUAAUCCAUAAAAAAAAGCUAAAUCUAGAAAAAACACGUUCUUACCAAUAUGGACCAAUCAUUAGUCUAUAACAAAAUAUGCUAGUUUAGAAUCCAAAAAAAGAUCCAAAACUUGCAUAUAUAUGACAUGUUAAAAAUUCAUAAGGCCAUAGUCCCAACACAAUAUAGUGAGCCCGAUCGGAGAUCAAUUAUAACACAAGUAAAAAUGUUUUGCCUAAACUUGUGGUUGUUCAAUAUAAAUUUGUUAUUGCUCAGUCUAAGGAAGCUAACAUCUAUAAUAGCCAACAUGAAUAACUUUCUCAAAAGAGGGAAAUGGGGGAUAAGUUGAUUUAACAAUUCGCUGAGAAUGUUAUAAUCUCUGUUGUUGUGUCUGUUACGGAUAUUGUUGUAGCUCUUGUUGCUUCUGUUGAUUUGUUGUUCAUAAAGUUAAUAAAGAUUUAUCUAUUGUUGAUAGCCUUAUUGAUGAUAUAGGGACUAAGUCUAUAUCUCAGGAUAAUAAUAUGAUAUGCCCUCGUUGGAGAGUGUCCAUGAAUAAAAAGAUUUGCUACAAGGAAAUGACAUCUUGUUUAUUGAUAAUUUGCGAUCUAUUGAAGGAUCCACUCAACUUAAGUCUGCAACUAAUAAUUUUUUUGUUGACAAACGAGUUGUUUCUUCUAAAAUUGUUUCUAAUGAUCUGGCCUUUCAACAUUGUUUUGAAUCCCUUUUAGGUUUGGAAAAUGUAGUGGCAAUGACUAGUUACAAUAUUCAAGCUAAGUUGGCUUUUGAAUAAAAAUGUUGCAUCUCAUGAUCUAAAUGAUGUUACUUUGGGUGUUGCAACUAGUCCGAGAACACAGGUGUUUUCUGAUUCUACUAUUCUUGUUGUGUCUGAUGUAGUUGUCGCUCAGAAGUCUACUCCUCUUUUGAUUAUUGCACCUGAUGCAGAUAUUGCUCUAGAGUCUGAUGUUGUCCCAACUUCAGCUGCGACUUUGGUGAAGGAUGUUGUUGGUCUUUUGGAAAAAAACUUCCUAAAAGAAUGUGAAAUUGUUGUUAAGUAUUUGAAGGGUAAAGCUAAUAUGGAAGACUCUCUUAGUGAUAAUGAAGACAAUGUUGUUCAAACUACUAGAAGGCCUAAGUGUCCUAGAAAGAAACCUACCAAGAAGAAAUGAGUUUUGUGUAAGUUUUUAUGUAUAUAUGUAGUUGUUGGUUUAAUUUUUUUGUUUGUCUCAUCAUUUCUCUUUGAAGCUCUUUCUAAAAGGAUGUUUAAAUCCUAUGUUAUUAUUGAUCUAGAUUUAAAUUUUUUUUCUUAUAUAUGUACGAAUUUGACCUAAUUCUUCAUAGUUACUUUGCAUUCUUUUUAUUGUUUAAAAUAUUUUUUUAUGUAAUAACAGUGGUUAAAAAAAAAAAUGUAAUAACAAUGGCGCAAUGUCUAACAUAAUAUUUAAAUAAAAUAUUUCUAUGUAAGAACACUUUCAUAGCCAAAAUCUUGAUGCAUCUCUUCGAAAAGAUAUUUCUCCUAAUCUCAUAUUUAAAUUGGUAGGUAUGAUAUGCUGAUGUUUUUUAUAUUUUAAUUUUAUUUAUAUUUAUUAUUAUUAUCAUUUAAAAAUAAUAUUUUAUUAUUUGAAAAGUGUAUUGAAUAUUUAUUUAAGAAAAACGUGGUUAUUAAAAUAUCAUUUUUCCGUGGAGAGUCCAUUACAUGAGAUUUCAACAGAAAAAUAAUUAGAGUCUCGCUGUAUUUAAUAAUUCUUGCGACUAUCUAUUAUCUUGUUAUAUCUUAAUAUAUAUAUUAUAUAUAUAUAUAUAUAUAUAUAUAUAUAUAUAUAUAUAUAUAUAUAUAUUUAUGAAAAUAUUAUAAACAGGUGAUAUAUUUGAUUUAUUUCUUUCAGUCAUUUAAGUUUAAAAUAAGCAACUAUACAGACCAAAUUUAUUUUCAUUAUACUUUAUUACAUUUGGUAAACUAACAAGAAACCUAUUACAUUAUUUUAUAAUUUUAAAUUUUAAAUUAUAUAUUUAUAUAUUUUAAAUUAUUAAUCUUAUGUUUGAAAUUUAAUUUAUAAUUUGUCUCUCAGAUAAAAUGUCUAAUCUAUCAUUAUCGUGAAUUAAUAAAUAUUAUUAUGAAUAAUAUUUUAUUUUAUUUUAUUGAUGUAAAAACUUUUAUUUUUAUUUUAUUUUAUAAUUUAAGAAAUUUAUUUAUUUUCUUAUUAUAGUACAAAAAAGUAAAUAAUUUAAUUUUAUAAAUGAUAUAAAAUAUUUAUUUAAUAUUGUAAAACCCCCCUCUCUCUCCCCUUCAACCUUUAUUUCUUUUUU
rnacentral:lncRNA from 1 species